rnacentral:lncRNA from 1 species
CUGCGCCAGGUGACAUGGCCCCGCAAGUUCCGAGCGCCAACGCUUGGGACCUACGAUGGGACCGUGAAUCCCAAGGACUUCCUCCUGACCUACACGUUGGGCAUGCACACCAUUGGUGCCGACAACAAGGUCAGGACAAACUAGUUCUCGAUGGUCCUGAAGGGAUCGGCGAGGACUUGGUUGCUGAACUUGCCCGCCGGGUCCAUCGCUUCAUGGGCGGACCUGCGCGAGCAGUUCGUGAACGCGUUCCAGGGUGGCAACAAGCGCUCGGGAACCAUGCCUGAGCUGCACACAGUGGUGCAGAAGCCAGGGGAGAUGUUGUGCGACUUCACCAACCGGUUCUCCAACAUCUCUUACUCCAUCCAAUAGGCGGAAGCGGCCGCCAUCAUCAACACAUACGCCAUUAAUGUCCGCGAUCCGAAGAUGCGUGAGAAGCUGAACACGGACCAGAUCAAGACCACCAGGGAUCUGUACACCCUCGCGCCCAAAUGCGCAAUGGCCGAGGAAGGCGCUUGGCGCCUGAACUUGCCGCUAAGGCGGCAGCAAACCCACCCGGGGGCUCCGGGAAGAAGGGCUCAAGGAAACGCGGCGGGAAGCAAGUCCUUGCCACUGAACCGGGGGCUCCUCAGAGGCCCACGAAGAAGGCUACUUCGGCAGGCGCAUCGAAUAGCAAGCCGGAAACGGCUGCUCGCUGCCCCAUCCAUGCCUACGCCACACACGACGCACAGGACUGCCGCACUCUUCGAACCAUCAAGAAGAAGCACGAGCAGCGCCACAAGGAGCGCCAUGCCGCCGGAGCCUGUUUCAAAUGCGGGGAUAUCGGGCACCUCUCCCGUGAUGGCCCAAACAAACCCCGCAACGGAUGGGCCGCGGUGGGGCCAACAGCGGCGACAAGGGAGAACCCGCGGGGGGUCGCGGUCAAGGCCGUGGCGGCAAAGAGCGGCCUCCCAAGGGACGUGACAAGCCUCGUGCUGCAGACCAGCGCGAAGACGACUGCAGCGACGACGUCGACGAGCCCGAGUUCCAGGAGACUCGCGAUGUUGUCUGCAUCCACGGGGGAGCAUCCGCUCUCACGUCUCACGUCACCGUGAAGCGGCUCACCCGUGAGGUGUGCACCCUCCACCCCAUUGUGGAGGCACAAGAGCCGUUGAGGUGGUCGCAUGUGCCGAUCAGCCCAUCCGUCCUUUGGGGUCAGGGGUUUUACCACUCGUGGUGUCACUGAUCAUCAGCAACAUGACGGUGACCAAGCUUCUGGUGGACAAUGGAGCACAAGCCUCAACAUCUUGUUUGCCAUGUUGGUGGAGAAGCUUCAGCUGCCCCUGGAGCAGAUGAAGCCCACCGACCCGUUCCGGGGGAUUAACCCCAGAGUGGUGCAGCCCAUGGGUCACGGGAAGCGUUCCAGACUGAGCAUGUUGUUUUUGACAUGGCUCACACCCCGUUACCAUACAACGAGUUCAUUGGUCGGCCUGUGCUGAUCAAGUUCAUGGCGGCGACUCAUAGUGCCUAUGACGUGAUGAAGAUGCCGUCAACGUAUUGGGUACUCUCCAUCAAGUGCGACCUGAAGGACGCUGCUUAGUGCGUGGGCAGGGUCGUGAGGACCUCCGCAUGGGUAGAUCCCGGCGACUUCGACGUUGCUAGAAGCGAGGAUCUGCUUGCGGGCGAGCAGCCCGCACAGAAGAAGGCGUGAGCCUCCCCGAGCAGGACGCCGGGGGCAGUACCAGCUCCAGCCCGCAUGCAAGCAAGGGCAUGAGGCUGAAGGAGGAGGGUACCAAGGUCAAGAAGGUGCCCCUACAAGCCAGCAACGAGGCACGCAUUGUCUCCAUUGGUGCGGACCUCAACGACAAAUAGGAAAACACCCUCAUCGCCUUCCUCCGGGGAAACUCUGACGUGUUCGCUUGGGAGCCAUCAGAUAUUCCCAGAGUCCCAGGGAGGUGAUCGAGCAUCGGUUGGCGGUGCGGCCGGAUGCCCGCCCCGUCAAGCAGAAGGUUCGCCGGCAAGCACAGGAACACAAGGACUUCAUCCAGCAAGAGGUGGAAAGCUCAAGAAUGCCGGGGCAAUCAGGGAAGUGUUGUACCCCACAUGGUUAGCAAAUCUUGUAGUAGUUCCUAAGGCAGGAAAUAAAUUGCGAAUGUGUGUAGACUUUACUGAUCUUAACCGCGCAUGUCCUAAGGACCCUUUCCCUGUAUCCCGUAUUGAUCAAAUAGUAGAUUCCAUAGCGGGUUGCGAGUCGUUGUGCUUUUUGGAUGCUUUCUCAGGCUACCAUAUGUCGUACCAGUGGCCCAUGGGGCCCAACUGGCAUGGGACGCAUGGAUCGCGACCGAUGAGAUCCCGCUAGGUUGACUUCCCGGGAGGGGCGAACCCGGGAAGUUGCCCGCUCGCUCCCCCGCAACUUGCUGGGCAACGGUACCAGGGCGCCUCCCGGGUACCGGGGCUCCGAGGGUCGCAGGUGGGGCUGACGGAACAGUGGAGAGAACACACAGCGGGCGCAGUGCAUUUAAUGCACCGACAGGAGUCACAUCGGCAGGGGUAAUCUUGCUCAACAAUUCUAGAGCGGCUACCCUAGGAGCUGUUUUACUUACGAUGCAUAGUGGCCUGGGCGCUGCAUGAAGCCCAGCGUAGAUCUACAGUAGGGAGAGUUUUGUGGCAAUGACACGCGUGUAGGAACGUGUCACGCUGCAUGUAUCGGCACCUGUGGUAUACCCUUGACUAUAAAAGGAGGACCAAUGCCAUCGGUCAAAGGGUUGGAACCCCAGUCAGUAGCAACUAGUAUCCCUCCUGUUAAUAGCAAAAUCUCUUAGGAGAGCAAGUAGCCCACCCGGGAAACCCCGGGGCAAUUUGUAAGAACACACACAUUUCCUGAAUACAACUCCAAGAAGGACGUAGGGUGUUACACCUCCGGGUGGCCCGAACCUGGGUAAAUCCGAGUGUCGACACUUCGUGUCUUAUGUCACGCCGGCGAUCGUCGGAGCGCUCGCCUCGCCUCUCACCGAACAACAAAGGGGGUGCCCAGCAUCCCCGGUGCUGAAGACCUGUGCUCCGAUACCAUCAAAUUAAGAUGGCAGUAGAGGACGAGGAAAAAACAGUGUUCAUCACCCCGGUUAGCUAUUACUGUUAUACGUGCAUGCCUUUUGUGUUGAAGAACGUGGGCUCGACAUUUCAGCGUGCUUUACGUGAGUGUCUGGGACCCCAUCUAGGCCACAACAUCGAGGCCUACAUGGACGAUAUCGUCGUCAAGUCGAGGCAUGGGGACUCGCUCAUCAGGGACUUGCAGGAGACGUUUGACAACCUCCGCAGGAUGAAGCUCAAGCUCAACCUCGAGAAGUGCACGUUCGGCGUGGACUCGGGGCACUUGCUGGCCCUCUUGGUAUCUCACCGGGGAAUCGAGGCCAAUCCACGGAAGAUCGAAGCGAUCGAGAAGAUGGAGGCACCCCGCAAGGUCAGAGAUGUCGAGGGCCUCAACGGCUGUGUUGCAGCGCUCGGGCGAUUCAUUUCGUGGCUGGGCGAGCGAGCCCUGCCUUUCUUCAAGGUAAUGAAGAAGAAGGGUCCAAUCAACUGGACCCCCGAGGCGGAAGCGGCGUUCCAGGACCUGAAGCAGUACCUGAAGUCGCCGCAGAUCCUCGUCGCCCCUAAGCCGGGCGAGCCGUUGCUGCUCUACUUGGCAACGACGGACGAGGUGGUGAGCUCCGUGCUCGUCGCCGAAAGGGAAGAAGAAGUCAUAGGGGCUGAAGUAGUGGGGCAGGGGGCUGCCAGAGAUUCUGGUGAACCCCCGGCAACCACUGCGACCCCGAGAACCGAGGGCCAGCCGGAUCAAGCCUCCCCUCGCAAGUGGCUAGUGCAGCACCCUGUGUACUUCGUUAGCAUGGUGUCGUGUACUUCGUUAGCAUGGUGUUGCGUGAUGCCCAAGUACGAUACCCGCAGGUCCAGAAGCUUCUGCUUGGGAUCCUGCUCGCUUCACGGAAGCUGCGCCACUAUUUCCUGGCACACAACAUCACGGUGGUGUCUGGGUUCUUCUUAGAGUGGGCCCUCACUAACCGUGAAGCCACCAAAAGGGUGGCCGAGUGUAGAAUGGAGCUGGCGGAGUUUGGACUGCGCUUCGCGAACACCAAGAGCAUGAAGAGUGCCGCCCUCGCUGACUUCGUCGGGGAGUGGACAUCAAUGGGCAUAGAUGAAGAAGAGCCGGAGGCAAGCCUUCCCGGCAAGCUGGAUUAAGUAUACUGGGUCAUGUACUUCGACGGCGCCUUCAGCUUGCAGGGCGCCGACGCUUGAGUAGUGAUCGAGUCGCGCACAGGAGAUCAACUCAAGUUCGUGAUUCAGCUCGACUUCGCCAACUCCACCAACAACAUUGCAGAUUACGAGGGAUGGCUGGCCGGGUUGCGAGCGGCAAUCUCCCCCGACAUCAAGCGCCUGGUAGUUCGCGGGGACUCCCAACUCGUGAUCAACCAGGUGAACAAGGACUACGACUAUCCCCAGAUGGCAGCAUACAUGGAAGAAGUGCGAAAGCUAGAGUCCAAGUUCAAGGGGCUACGGUUUGAGCACGUCAAGCACAAGGACAACUUUGGUGCGGAUGAGCUGUCCAAGUGGGGAGCGGAACGCAGCAAGGUGCGUGCCGGGGUGUUCAUGCAGACGCAGAGAAAGAACUCUGUCGAUCCCAAGUCGGUUGCCGAGGAAGCCCCUCCGGCAACCCAAGGAAACCCUGCAGCUGCGAGGCGUCAUUCUACCGAUCUUGUGGCAUGCUUGAGGCGGGUACCACCACCUUGGUGUCGUCGCACGGUGCUCAGACACCAGGGGCGUGCGGCCAUGGCCCCCUUUUAGGUUCGGUGGGGGCGUCAGGGUUCACCCCGGCGAUCGCCGGCACGGCCGAUGGGGCUCUACUGGGCCGGCAUGAUGAAGUGCUAGGGGUGCGCGCUAAUUCAAGAACAAACGCACGCACGUUUUUACCCAGGUUCGGGCCACCCGGAGGUGUAAAAUCCUACAUCCUGCUUGUCUGCGCUGGUAUUAGUUUAGAAUCGAGUGUUUACAAAUUGCCGGGCAAGUUCUAGGGCUCUCUCUCACUGACUAGGUACCCCUUACUACCCUUUGCUAGUGCUGGAAGCUAACUAUGAGCUGGUCGAACUCAGCCAAACUGUCUACUGGAGCCAACUAAUCUCCUGCGGAACCCUUUGACCGCUGGCGAGGGUCCUCCUUUUAUACUCAAGGGGAUGCCACAGGUGCCACGGUGCAUGAGCUACAAGUGUCGGGCGGGGAGGCAUACAACUCCUCCCGGUGAGCUGGUAGCGCGCAUGGAUGCCACCUCCGCCGAAUUGGACAGCCACUGUUCCUUUGAUCGGACGGGUAACGCCCCGUCGGUCGGCUCAUUUAAUGAGCCGUGCGCCUUACUCCUUGCCCUGGUGGGACCGCGCAUCCCACGCCCGCCACGCGUCCUCGUGGCGCUAUAGAUCUGGCUACUCGGCCCCGCGCCUGAGGCGGGGGCAUGCGCCCGGGAACCCCCUGUCCCGGCAAGUCGACCCCGGGAAGCGCCCGGGCCCAGCGCACCCGGGAACCCCCCCCCCCCCCCCCGGGAAGCAACUUCCCGGGAGGUGCCCCGGCGGGAAUAUUCACCGAAGCCCCAUCGUGGAGAAGAUCAAGGCGCUGCGGCUAGCAGGGCUCACCGAUGUGGACGUGGCACGCACCUUCGUCCAUCGGCGCAUAGCCCCGCUGAAGCUUCGCUCCCGGCCCGCGUGGAUGUACACUGGUCCCGGGGACAGGACACGCCUCCCGGAGGACGGCAUGGACUUUGAAACCCUCAGGACAUGGGUGAAGGGGAUCUCCGGUGAGACCUUCCAAUCAACGGAGUUCCCGCCGGGGGUUUCCACUCUCCACGCCGGCGUCCAGGCGCUUAGAGACAUUGUCAGUGCCUUCCCGCCCUGCAACGAGUGGGGGUUGAUGGACGACACCCCCACCCGGGUCCCACACGCUCCCCCGCAAGCACCCCGUGAGAAGCAGGUGCUUGAGGAGAGCGGGGGCGGGUCCGAGCCCAGCUGGCCCUCUGUCCAGUCGAUGGACGACGAGGCAGGCCAGGUGGCUACAUCCCUGGAGGUGGUCGCCGUGGAUGAUGACGACGAAAGCAGCGACCGCGCGCCCUUGAUCGUGAGGAGAUUGAGGGUGUUUGCAGCGGCUGCAGCCCUCUCCUCGACGGCAACGUCUGCCCUGGCAGCGGCCACCAACCUUGCGGCGGCGGUUGCUUCAGGGGCGCCCGUCAGCAUCACAACGGCAUCCGCGGAAGCAGGGGCCGCGGGUUUCUCGGCGGCGGCCUCCGCCCAACGGCAGCCACCAGCACUGUGAUGGCACCCAGGCCCGGGGCGCCUGCCGGUACUCCAGCAGCGCCAGUUCCUGCAGGGAUCGGCGGUGCCCCGGCAACGGCUUUCGCGCCGGUAGCGGGGGCCUCCGCGAGUUCGGCCUCCGGCGCCGCGGCGGCAUCGCCGUCGACACCCAGGGCUCUCCGGGUCACGAAGACCCUGCGGGCGCCCACGGCGGCACCUGCUCGGGGGGUCUUCCGGGGCUUCGUGCUCCGGCGUAACCCCCCGAAGUCCUCCUCGCCGGCGGCUGCCAGCAAGAGGGCGAGGAGCGAUUCCCCGCCUGGUACACCAAGCAAGAAGGCGCGCGCCGGUGCCAGCGGCGCCGCCGACCCCACCACCGCAAGGGUCGGCGGCCACACGGGCAUGCCCCCUGGCGACCCAGCCCCCACGGAGGCAGGGCCGGCAGCCGGUAUGUCUUCGUCACUCCUCUGCAACUACAAUUUUUGUCAGCUAACCUUAUGAGCGUACCUUUUCUUUUUCUUUUGCGGUGAGCGGCAGCUCGCCCGCGGCAAGCCUCUUGGACGCUCCCGCCGGCACAGGCGAGCCAGGGGAGGCUUCCCCGGCAAGCCCGGCGGCCGCACAAGGUAACCAUGCUGAUCACCCUUGCACGUCUUCAAUAGCGCCAUCCUUCGCCGAUCCUCAUGCUUUUCGUUGUUGCAGGCACAAGUGCGCCCAUGCCCGGAACGGGUGCAACCGUGGUCGAUCUUGACCAGGUCGUCGAAGCCGUGGGGGCGGAGGUGGAGCCGGAAUCGGCUGUCACGUCCAGCCCCACUGCGGCGGACACAACGGCCGCAGUGGACGCCGCCGCCGCCGUGACUGCGCCUGGCGACGCGCCCGCAGCUGCGGACGCGGUCGGCACGGGCUCACCUGUUUCCCAGUAGGGGGCAGCCCCCGCUGGAAGCAGGGAGCCUUCCCCAGCCCCGGGGUCCCCGGGCACAGGCGCAGGGGAAGUUGCCAGGGGAGGACAGCAAGACCCUCGGGAGCAAGUUGGAGACCCGCGCCCAGCCCUACUUCGGCAGCUGGGGCUUCAUCGUCCUCGGCGGCUCUCCCCGGUACCGACCUCGGCACCCUCGUCGGGGUUGCUUGGAACCCCCUUACUUGGGAUCCGAGCAUCUUCGAGCGAGCGCACCAGUUCCUGGACGCCGUCAGGGACCAGCAAUUGGCCUUCGUCACCUCCUUCAACGAGGUGAGGGAGCACUACACCGCCGCCAAGAAUCAGCUCGGCGAGGUGCGGGAGGCCGUGGAGAGAGAAUGGCGUGAACUGUCCCGGCUGCGCGAGGAGAUGCGUCUCGCCGAAGAGGAGGCGCGGCUGACCCGACAAGCCCUGGAGGACGCCCGGGAGCUGGUGGUCCCAGAGGCCGAGCCUCACCUGCAACUGGAGGCCCAACGCGUGGAGCUCCAAGGGAAGCUCGACUCAAUGUCGGCCACCCUCGAGGCGACCAGGAAGGAACACGCUGAGGUGGUCGCGGCGGCCCAGGGCCGGCUGGAUGAAAAAAGCGUCCUGAUCGCCAACUACCGUGACGAAAUCCAAGGCCUCCUCGUCAUGCUGGAGGUGCAGGUCAAGGCCACCGAGGACGCAGUGGGAGCAGCGGCCCGGCACGAGACCAAGCUCAACUCCGCCAAGGACAGAGCGGCCAGGCUCGAGACCGAGCUGGCCGCCGUCCGGGAGGAGCUUGCCAAGGCCGGCAACGAGAUCGCGGCAAAGACCGCGGAGCUCGCGGCGAUGGAGGGCAAUGUCCGCAAGGCUAAAAAGGCUGCGCACGACACUCGCCUCCAUCACGGUACGUUGAUCAGGCAGCGGCAGAUCGAGACGGAGAAGCUGCUGAAGAUCGCCCGGUCGCUGCGCGACCUGCUGCCCAAGUUCGAGCUGCAGGCAGCGGAAGUGGACGGGACAGACGUCACGACGCUGAUCCCCUUUUUCUCCGACCUGGUGGGGAAGCUUGGGGCACUCGACGUCUGGAUCGCCGGUACGGCGCCAACGAAGUCGCCAACUGCGCCCAGGAGGUUGCCGGGACAAUCCUCCCGCAGAGUUUCCCUUUGAGUCCCUGCUGGACGCUUGGUCCGACAGCGAGGACGAGCCCACGCACACCCAAGCAGUGUGCGAGUUCGUCGACAAGGUCGUCGAGCGGAUGCAGAUGAAGCCGGAGCCUGAUCUCCCCGCCGACCCCCCGGCCGAAGACGGUGACAACUAGUCGCCGCAGCCCCCCGCCGUGCUCGUUGUUCCCAAUGUAUCUUCUCUAGUUUGCUUUCCCUGCAAGUAUGGCGCUUAGUGCCAUUUGAACAGUCAUAUUUCUGAUUAGCCCAUGUAAUCGUUCGACUCUUCAUCAAUUUAGUUUUUUCGACAUGUUCAUUGUUCCCGGUGCUGUCUAGCGGGGUGCCCCCUUUAGCAUUUGCACGUUUGGCCUUGUGUCGCGGGGGACUCGCACGCCUCACCCUUGACCAGACCAGGGACCCGGGACGGACCCGCGGUGCCGACCUGGGGCCAAGCGGUAGCGGGGAGUCACUCCACUUGCGGGGUAACUACUCCAAACCGUGCCCCUCCGGGAUGGACCCGCGAAGCCACACGGGGAGCGCACUCCCCCCGCAAGCGUCCUUUUAACACUCCGGCCACGCGUAGGAUCAGGGGCCACACCCAACGAGACAGUGCUCAAUUUCGUUCAGUUCUUAGCUCAUUCAGCGUUCAUGUUCAGACACUUAGCUUUUCCGUUCAGCCCAAUGCCUCGUGACGCUCAGCGGUAAAGUGCAACUGGGGUAGUGCCUUCGUAGUGACCCACCUCGGGUACCUGUUCAAGGAAAACGGUUUCUGAGGGAUGCGGCAGGAGCGCGGGGGUAGGAUCGCCGCCAGUGGCAUCCGCCGACGACCAAGCUACCACCACGCUCAUGCGGCAACCCUCGCCUUCAGGGAGGAUCCCUAGCUUAGGAGAACUCCGCCCCGGGAGCAGCCGCAAGACGGCUAUAACGUCCUCGCCGCCGGCUGCGCCCCACCCCGAGUGGCGGGCAUGGGUGGCGAGGAAGUUAUAGCCUCCCGGCGACAACCCCCGCCACUGGGGAGACCUGGUUUUUCUGGGGAGCUCGUCGCGAGGGGCGUAACAGCCCUUGUUUCCCGGGAGCAAAACUGCUCGAGGACCGCGGCAAGGACGCGGUAAUGGGCCGGAGCGGGCGGCGGGCGCCGGCACCGGCGCCAUCAUAGCAUCCUUGCAAUGACCCGCGCCCGAAAAAAGGCUCUCUCUAAGUGAAUGCGGCCGGGUCUCUAAGAUAGUGCACCCGUCGGCACAAGGCACAGAGGGCAUGCACUACCAUAGAGUCUCUGCGGCAGCCCCUGCUCCUUGCAAAGGUGUCUUACGGAGGGGCGUGGCAAGGGCACUGCAGCAAUGCACCCCGUCAGCGCCGGACGCUGAUGGGAUGCACCACCACAGUGCCUCCGCGACGACUCUCGCCUAGGAGCCACCCACUUGAGGAGGCGCGGCAGGAGCACGGCGGCAGUGCACCCGUCGACGCAGGACGUUGAUGGCAUGCACCGCCACCGUGCCUCGGCAACGCCCCUCGGACUUGGUGGGGAAGCUCGGGGCGCUCGAUGUCUGGAUCGCCAAGUAUGGCGCCAACGAAGUCGCCAACUGCGCUCGGGAGGUUGCCGGGACAAUCCUCCCGCGGAUUCAUCUCCGGGACCCGGAAUUUCCCUUCGAGUCCCUGCUGGACGCUUGGUCCGACAGCGAGGACGAGCCCACGCACACCCAAGCAGUGCGCGAGUUCGUCGACGAGGUCGUCGAGCGGAUGCAGCUGAAGCCGGAGCCUGAUCCCCCCGUCGACCCCCCGACCGAAGACGGCGACAGCUAGUUGCCGCAGCCCCCAGCUAUACUCGUUGCUUCCACUGUACCUUCUUCUUGUUUGCUUUCCCUGCAAGUAUGGCGCUUAGCGCCGUUUGAACAAUGACCUUUUGAUUAGUCCAUGUAAUCAUUCGACACUUGGUCAAUCAAGCUUGUUAGUUUGCUCACUUUUUGUCCCUUAUUCCCGAGGCCGCCUCGCGGGGUGGUUCCCUUAGCCUUUGUGUGUUUGGCCUUGUGUUGUCGGGGACUCGCACGCUCCAUCCUUGACCAGACCAGGGACCCGGGACAGACCCGCAGUGCCGACCUGGGGCCAAGCGGUAUGCGGCAAGUCAUUCCGCUUGCGGGGUAACCACUCCAAGCCGUGUCCUCCCGGGGCGGACCCGGGAGCCACACCGGGAGCGCACUCCCCCCGCAAGCGUCCUCUUCACACCCCGGCCACGCGCAGGUUCCGGGACCACACUUCGGCAAAGCAGCGUUAACUCUUAGUUAAGUAAACUUUUUCGACAAGUUCGUUGUUCCUGAUGCUGUCCAGCGGGGUGCCCCUUUUAGCCUUUGCGUAUGUUGCCUUGUGUUGCGGGGGACUCGCGCAUGCCUCACCCUUGACCAGACCAGGGACCCGGGAUGGACCCGCGGUGCCAACCUGGGGCCAAGCGGUAGCGGGGAGCCACUCCGCUUGUGGGGUAACCACUCCAAGCCGUGUCCUCCCGGAGCGGACCCGGGAGCCACACGGGGAGCGCACUCCCCCCGCAAGCGUCCCUUUUAACACGCCGGCUACACGCGGGACCUGGGGCCAUACCCAGCGGGACAGUGCUCAGUUUCGUUCAGCUCUUAGCGAAUUCAGCGUCCAUGUUCAGAUAUUUAGCUUUUCCGUUCGGUCCAAUGUCUCGCGACACUCGGCGGUAGAGUGCAGACAGGGCACUGCCUCGGUAGGAAACCAUCUUGGGUACCUGUUCAAGGGAAACGAUGUCUGAGGGAUGCGGCAGGAGCGCAGGGGCAGGAUCGCCGCCAGCGGCAACCGCCGCCGACGAUGCUACCACCACGCUCACGCGGCAACCCUCGCCUUCAGGGACGGACCCUGGCUCUCAGGGAAUAACCCUGGCUUAGGAGGACUCUGCCCCGGGAGCAGCCUCGAGACGGCUAUAACGUCCUCGCCGCCAGCUACGCCCCACCCCGAACGGCGGGCACGGGUGGCGAGGAAGUUAUAGCCUCCCAACGACAGCCCCUGCAACUGGGGAGACCUGGGUUUUUUCUGGGGAACUCGUCCCAAGGGAGGCGACGGCCCUUGCUACCCGGGAGCAAAACUUCUCGAGGGCCGCGGUGAUGGGCCGGAACGGGCGACGAGCGCCGGCACCGGUGCUAUCACAGCAUCCUUGCAAUGACCCGCUCCCGAAAAAGGCUCUCUCAAAGGGAAUGCGGCCGGGUCUCUAUGCUAGUGCACCCGUCGGCACAAGGCACGGAUGGCAUGCACUACCAUAGAGUCUCCACGGCAGCCCCUGCUCCUUGCGGAGGUGUCCUAUGGAGGGGGGCGACAAGGGCACUGUGGCAAUAGACCCCGUCGGCGCCGGACGCUGAUGGGACGCACCACCACAGUGCCUCUGCGGCGACCCUCGCCCAGGAGCCGCCCCCUUGAGGAAACGCAGCAAGGGCACAACGGCAGUGCACCCGUCGGUGCAGGACGCCGAUGGCAUGCACUACCAUCGUGCCUCUGUGGCGCCCCUCGGGGUGGGCUCGAUGGGGUGAUGCAGCAGGGACGCGAUGGCAGCGCACUCGCAGGCGCUAGGCGCCGGCGGGAAGCACCACCUCUGCGCCUCCGUUGCACCACCUGCCUUCACGGCCCGAACCCGACUUCGCUCUGAGCCGUUCCAUGGUUGGGGCGCACCUUUUAUAGACGCGGGAGGGGCGUUUUGCCACCGCGUGCGACGGACCCUCGCAGCACCGUGGCACCCUUCCCUAGAACGCGGCGCAGUUUCCGCCGCCAAGUUUACCAGGCAACCGUGGUACACGUGGCGGCAACCUGUCAACUCAGAAGCCUCGGAGUGCGGUGAGCCCCUUGUGUUGCGGUCCUCCUGCACCACAAGGCACCGGUGUAUGGUGCGACCCGUGGGCAGCUCACGGGCACCACAGUGUACAAGAUUCCUCCCUUUCCUGCAGGUUAGACUCUUACCAGAUCCAAGGUGCUGCAAAAAUUUUCCAAACUUACGAAAACAAGCAACACAGGUAAAUCAGAUAAAUCUCUCCUGCUUCCCAGCCCCCGGCACAAAGGGGUCGAUGCCAAACUUGGAUGUGAGCAUUUCCUUUCCCAGGCGCAGCGACUGCGCGGUGCAGGCUGCGGGAGGCCGAGCAACUACACGCCUAGUGAUGCACGUUGCGGGAAGCCCACGAACGGCAUGUCCAGUGAUGCGCGUGGCGGGAAGCCCGCCAACGGCAUGUCCAGUGAUGCGCGUUGCGGGAAGCCCGCCAACGGCAUGUCCAAGGAUGCGCGUGGCGGGAAGCCUCCCAACGGCAUGGCCCGUGAUGCCCGUUGCGGGAAGCCCACCAACGGCAUGGCCCGUGCCGGAACGAUCCGGCAACGGAAUUUCGUUUCGGGGCCACGGCAGCCCCUUGCUCACAACCAAGUAUGGAAAGACACCUUUGCGCACUCAAAGCAAGAGGCAAGAGAGGGGAAAACACGCGAAUGAACGAGGCAAAUCCAAAGCCCAAGGGUGAAAUACUUAUCUUUAUUCACGAUUAACUAGCGGUUUACACACGGGGGUUGCCCGGUUACACUAGUUCGAGAGGUAUGCAUCGGAGGCAUCACCUAAGGGUCGGGCUCCGCUACUUCACGGGUAGAACUUGCGCAAGUGCUCAAUAUUCCAGCUAUUGGGCACCAGCAAGCCGUCUUCGGUUUCCAGGCGGACAGCCCCCGGCCUGGUCACCUGCACUACCCAGAAGAGUCAACUUGUUCUCGGCCUUCGUUCCUUGUAUCCGGCGCAGGACAAGGUCUCCGUUCUCGAGCCCCCGGGGAUGGACUCGUCUGUCGUGAUAACGACGGAGUCCCUGCUAGUAGCGCGCGGCUCGCACAGCAGCCCGGCAUCGAAGAUCUUCGAUGGAGUUUACAUCGUCGACCCUUUGCUUGUGUUGGCUGGUGUCGCCGUACGCACGUACUCGAGGAGAUCCGUACUUGAGCUCGAGGGGCAGCACCGCUUCUGCCCCGUAGACAAGGGCGAAAGGAGUUUUGCUCGUUGCCCGACUAGGUGUGGUCCGGAUGGACCACAGCACGGGCUGGAAUUCUUCGAUCCAGUGCUUCCCGUGGCCUUUGAGCUUGUCAAAGGUUCUCGUCUUGAGCCCCCGCAGAACCUCUGCGUUGGCUCGCUCCGCCUGUCCGUUGCUCCUCGGGUGAGCGACGGACGCGAAGCGCAGCUUAGUGCCCAUGUCUUCGCAGUAGGCUUGAAACGCCGCGCUCGUGAAUUGCGUGCCGUUGUCGGUGAUGAUGCUGUUAGGAACACCAAACCGGCACACAAUGCCCUUGAAGAACUUGAUGGCCGCCUGGGCGGUCACCUUGCGCACUGGUUCGACCUCCACCCAUUUGGAGAACUUGUCGAUGGCCACAAACAAGUAUUCGUAACCACCAACCGCCCUUGGUAGCUUGCCGACGAUGUCCAGUCCCCAGACCGCGAACGGCCAUGAGGACGGGAUGACAUGCAAGGCCUGGGCUGGUUGGUUGCUCCUCUUUGAGUGGAACUGGCACGCCUCGCACAUCCUCACCAGCCGCUCUGCGUCGGCCAGGGCCGUGGGCCAGUAGAAGCCAUGCCGGAAAAUCUUGCCGGCUAGAGCCCGGGAGGCCACAUGGUGUGAACAUGAGCCUCGAUGUAUGUCGUCCAACAGUGCACACCCUUCUUCCUGCGGCACGCAGAUGAGUUUGACACCAUUCGCACGCCUGCGGUAGAUGCUACCAUCUAUCACAGUGUACAUCUUGGCUUGCCACACUACACGCUCUGCGGCGACGUCAUCCUCCGGGAGAGCCUCCCCUUUCAAAUAACGGGCGAUUUCUUCCGCCCAGGGAGGAAUCUCCCUGCCAACGCAUGCCAUCAUAUCAGCGGCAUGGACCCCUGCUGCUGCAGGGGUUCCUUCGGUUGUGGGAGGGGCGUCCCCGGCAGCCGGCUGGGGGGCGACUGAAGGAGCCACUUGCUUCUAACAGAACACCCCCGUCGGAGGCUUCCAGCGCUCUGCUGCCAUCUUGGCCAGCUCGUCAGCAGCGAAGUUAUCCUUCCGGUUGACGUGCUCGAAGCGUAAACCCUUGAACUUUCGUUCCAGCUUGCGGACCUCUUCCACGUAUGGCGCCAUUUGAAGGCAAUCGUAGUCCUUGUUCACCUGGUUGAUCACACGCUGGGAAUCGCCACGAACAACCAGGCGCUUAAUGUCGAGGGCGACCACUGCCCGCAACCCGGCAAGCAGGCCCUCGUACUCCGCCGUGUUGUUGGUGGAGUUAGCGAAGUCGAGUUGAACGGCGAACCGCAACUGGUCCCCUAUUGGUGACUCGAUGACGACCCCGGCCCCAACUCCCUGGAGACUGAACGCACCGUCGAAAUAGAGGACCUAGUGGCCCUCGUCCAACUUGCCGGGAAGGCCGGUCUCCGACUAACUUUCUUCUACGCUCGUGGACGUCCACUCCGGGACGAAGUCCACCAGGGCCGUGCUCUUGAUGCUUUUGGAGUUGGUGAAGUGGAGGUCAAACUCCGACAUCUCCAUCCUCCAUUCGGCCACCCUCCCGGUGGCUUCACGGUUGGUGAGGGCCCGCUCGAGGCAGAACCCGAACACCACCGUGACACGGUGCGCCCGGAAGUAGUGGCGCAGCUUGCGGGACGGAAGGAGAAUCCACAGAAGGAGCUUCUGUAAUUGCGGGUACCUUGUCCGCGCGUCGCGCAGCACCGUACUAACGAAGUACACCGGGCGCUGCACCAACCACUUCCGCGGCGCUGAGGUUGCCGGCUCGGGGGCGGUCCCCGGGUUUGAGGCGGUUGCCGAAGGCCGCUCAGCCCCCUGCCCCACAGCCCCAGUCCCCUGGACGUGUUCCUCCCUCUCGGCAACCAGCACCGAGCUGACCACCUGGUCAGUCGCCGCUAAGUAGAGUAGCAACGGCUCGCCCAACUUGGGGGCGACGAGGAUGGGCGGUGACCUCAGGUAUCGCUUGAGUUCCUGGAGUGCCGGUUCGGCCUCGGGAGUCCAAUCGACUGGACCCUUUUUCUUCAUUACCCGGAAGAAAGGCAAGGCAUGCUCGCCCAGCCUGGAGAUGAAACGUCCCAGAGCGGCAACGCAGCCGUUGAGGCGCAGGACAUCUUUAACCUUGCAGGGGGCCUCCAUCUUCUCGAUGGCUUCUAUUUUGGUCGGGUUGGCCUGUAUCCCCCGGUGUGAAACCAAGAAACCCAGAAGCUGCCCGGAGUUGACACCGAAGGUGCACUUAUCAGGGUUCAGCUUGAGCUUCAUCCUGCGGAGGUUGUCAAAUGUCUCCCGCAGGUCAUCAAUCAGCGAGUCCCUACGCUUCGAUUUGAUGACGAUGUCAUCCAUGUAGGCCUCCGCGUUGCGUCCUAGCUGGGGCCCCAAACAUUCGCGCAGGGCGCGCUGGAAUGUGGAGCCCGCAUUCUUCAACCCAAAAGGCAUGCAUGUAUAGCAAUAGCAGCCAACCGGGGUGAUAAACACUGUCUUUUCCUCAUCCUCGACCGCCAUCUUGAUUUGAUGGUAGCCGGAGAAAGCAUCCAGAAAACUCAACAAGUCACAACCAGCGGUAGAAUCAACUAUCUGGUCGAUACGGGGUAUAGGGAAGGGAUCCUUGGGGCAUGCACGAUUAAGAUCGGUAAAAUCUACGCACAUGCGAAGCUUAUUCCCUGCAUUGGGCACUACCACAGGGUUAGCCAGCCAAGUGGGGUACAAAACUUCCCUGAUCGCCCCGGCAGCCCUGAGCUUGCCCACCUCCUGCUUGAUGAAAUCUUUCCGCUCUUGUGCUUGCCGCCGGAUCUUUUGCUUGACGGGGUGCGCAUCUGGGCGCACCGCGAGCCCAUGCUCAAUCACCUCCCUGGGGACUCCGGGAAGGUCCGACGGUUCCCAGGCGAACACGUCGGCGUUUUUCCGGAGGAAGGUGACGAGGGCGCUUUCCUAUUCGGCGGUCAGGUUCGCACCGACGGUAACGGUGGCUCCUUGUCGCCGGCUUGAAGGGGCAGCUUAUUCACUUUGGCGGCCUCCUUCCAGAGCCCCUGCCCCUUGCCGAGGCACGAGCUCGAGCCUGCGCCUCCCCCGCCUAGCCCUUGCGUGGUGGCGUGGGCCUUCUUCGUUGCCGGGGCGUCACCCGGCAAGGCGUCGUCCUCGACGACACCCUCAUCGCCAGCGUCAGCUGCAGCACAAAAUAAAAUUUCUACCGCUUCCACCCGGAACAAUGCUGUAGAUAAUGGAUCACGAGAUUACCACUAGACGCGCAGAACCGUAGCGGAAGUAGAGUCGAUGUAGCGCGUCGAUGCCGAGUAGUCGAACAGCCUGCUCCUCCUCGCCGAUCCCACGAACAGUUCGUCCAAGCGCCGCAGGUGCAGCGCCUCCGAGGUAUCCACACGUACAGGGAGAAACUCCGUGCGGCGGACUGCUAGAUCCGAUCGCAAGGCUUUGGGCGUGGAGGUGUGACGGCCGAGUCUAACUCGCGUCUGGAUUGGUGUAACCCUAGACGGGUUGGUCUCCUCCACUUAUAUAGACGUCCCUAGUGGGCUCAACACUUGAGGCCCGUUAGGAGUCUAAGCCCGAUACGAGUUGGAUCCGAUCCAACUCGGUUCCCACCCCUUAAGCGUGUGACCCUUCAGGUUCGCGGUCAGUCGGACACGACUACGAGCUCGGACUGCGGGCCCGAGUAACACCUUACUCGUCCACUGGCACCGACUCAAGUCGAUAGUUGGUAGCGGCGCCUAGCAGCACAUGCCAACUCCCAAGUAACCACAAGGUAUAUUGACGAACCAUACAAUGUGUCAUAUGCAACAUUCCUUUUGCCUCACGAUAUGUGUGUCGAGCUCAAGGCGAGUGCUUGUCAUCCUUGUGGAUAGCUCGAGUCUCUUCUCGUUCCUGUGAUACAGAUUCCCGAUCGGGUUAACACUUAACCCAAGUCGCAUGGCCAUGCUUUCCGAAUCUGAUCACUCGAGAGGGCCCAGAGAUAUCUCUCCGAACAGGAGGGGCAAAUCCCAUCUUGUUCAACCAUGACUCGCAGCAUGUUUCUCAGCAAACCCGAAAGCUACCUUUAUAACCACCCAGUUACGGAGUAGCGUUUGGUAACCCCUAAGUAGGCCGAUUCACAUCCCAAGCUCAUGCGAUGACCUCAGGUCUAGGACUGGCAUAUACAUCGUACUUGAGACUAACAAAUGACAAUCAUCUCGUUGUGUCUCAGUCUCAGUGCGGGUAUGUCCGACUCCACAAUCUCAUUGUCGAGUCCAUGCUAUCAGUCGGCAACACCUUGCCCUAUGACUUGUGAAACAUAGUCAUCAUACUGAUUCACAUUGCUAGUCUAGAUUAUGUGUCUGCAUAACCUCAAUGACUAGGGACCAUUAGAACAACAUCAUAGAAUACAUAGUCUCACAAACAAAUCACGUAUUUAUUGAUACAUAUCAGUGAUGAUGUUCAAGGACAAUAACAAUAACUCAUGAAUACAUAGGAAAUAACAUCAUCACAUGAUUGCCUCUAGGGCAUAUCUCCAACACCUCUGUUGGCUGUCUACUGGAACCAACUAAUCCUCGAUCUAAUGAGCCGGCGAAGGGGACUUGUGGAACUGAACGACUGUCCAACUGACCAACUAACCAACAGAGAACCUAGAACCCUUGACCGUCGGCAUGGGUCCUCCUUUUAUACAUAAGGGGAUGCCACAUGUGCCAUGGUGCAUGAGCUACAAGUGUCCAGCGGGGAGGCAUGCAACUCCACCCGGUGAGCUGGUGGCAUGCAUGGGUGCCACCUCCGCUGCUAGGGGCCUAAGACCCUAGGGUAGGAUUAGACAAGGACUGUUCCUUGGAUCGGACGGGUAACUACCCGUCGGUCGGCUCGUUUACUAAGCCGCGCACCUUGCUCCUUGCCUUGGUGGGACCGCACGUCCCGAGCCCACCACCCACCCGCGUGGCGCUGUGAACGGGGCCCCACGCCUGGGGCAGGGGCACGCGCCCGGGAACCCCCAGUGCCCGCAAGUCGACCCCGGGAAGCACCCGGGCCUAACGCACCCGGGAACCCCCUCCCAGGAAGCGGCUUCCCGGGAGGUGCCUAGGCGGGAAUAUUCCCCGAAGCCCCGCUAGCCCCUUUCGGGAUGGUAGCUUGCCGGGGAGCUCAUAGGCGCUCCCCGGGAUGAGACCUUCCCGGGAACCCGGAAAAGGGGCCCACGCGUCGCGCAGCGGUGGUACCCCGGGUGCCACUGGUGCAACAGCCAAGUUCAGCAAGUGUGACUUUUGGCUGUCGGAAGUCAGUUUCCUCGGACACAUCGUGUCAGGAGCAGGAGUAGCUGUCGACCUAGCUAAGGUGACCGCUGUUACGGAAUGGGAGUCACCCAAGAAUGUGGGAGAUAUCAGCAGUUUCCUAAGACUCGCUGGAUAUUAUCGGAGAUUCAUUGAGAACUUCUACAAGAUUGCUAAACCCAUGACUGAACUUUUAAGGAAAGAGAAGAAGUUUACCUGGAACGAGAACUGUGAAGAAAGUUUCCAGGAAUUGAAGAAAAGACUAGUGUCUGCACCCAUCCUUGUUUUGCCUGACCUGCAGGAGGAUUUUCAAGUAUACUGUGACGCCUCACGUCAAGGAUUGGGAGGAGUCUUAAUGCAGAAUGGAAGAGUUGUAGCUUACGCUUCGCAGCAACUAAAGAGCCACGAAGGGAACUACCCCACUCACGACUUGGAAUUAGCAUCAGUAGUGCACGCUUUGAAAACUUGGAGACACUACCUGAUGGGGAAACAUUGUGAAUUGUUCACGGAUUACAAGAGCCUGAAAUACAUAUUCACCUAGAAGGAGUUGAAUCUGAGGCAGAGAAGAUGGUUAGAACUGAUAAAGGAUUAUGAGCUGAGUCUGCAAUACCAUCCAGGCAAGGCUAAUGUAGUAGCCGAUGCUUUGAGCCGCAAGGGCUAUAUAAUGGACUGAUAGCUGGAGAGUUACCGCCAGAAUUGUGCAAACAGUUCAAGGACCUGAGACUUGAGAUUGUACCGGAAGGACAUUUGGCCACCUUGGAAGUACAGCCCACUUUGCUGGACAAGAUUAGAGAAGCACAGAAGGGUAACUCGGACUCUGGACCCACCAUCGCUUCUGCAUACGUAGUCGGCUCGUCAUUGUCUAACAACAACACAUUGCGUACAUUACGCAGUCUUUCCGACCUUCGUGGAUAUGGUGCUGUAUUGGCCGUGGGUACGACGACUGGCUCAGUCACUCGGACAUCACCUGUCGAGUUAUCCCCUACUGGCUCAUCUCGAACUUCUUCGAGUUGCACUGACCUCCCACUUGCCUCCCGACUGAGAAACUCUUUCUCAAGGAAGACACCGUUUCGAGCGACAAACACUUUGCCCUCUGCCCGGUUGUAGAAGUAAUAUCCUAAGGUUUCCCUUGGAUAUCCCACGAAUAUGCACUUGUCCAAUUUGGGAGUGAGCUUGUCUGACUGAAGUCGUUUGACAAAUACAUCACAACCCCAAAUCUUUAGAAAAGACAAACUGGGACGCUUUCCAGUCCAUAUCUCAUAUGGUGUCUUAUCUACGGACUUGGAUGGUACUCUGUUUAGUGUGAACGCUGCAGUUUCUAGAGCAUAACCCCAAAAUGACAAGGGAAGAUCUGACUGACUCAUCAUCGACCGAACCAUAUCCAACAAGGUCCGGUUCCGCCUUUCCGACACACCGUUUCUCUGUGGUGUACCCGGCGGUGUGAGCUGUGGAACAAUUCCACAACUCUUCAGAUGAUCGUCGAACUCGUGACUCAAGUACUCGCCUCCACGAUCAGAUCGUAGAAGCUUUAUUUUCUUGCCACGUUGGUUCUCUACUUCAUUCUGGAACUCCUUAAACUUUUCAAAGGUUUCCGACUUAUGUUUCAUUAAGUAGACAUAUCCAUAUCUACUCAAAUCAUCAAUGAAUGUUAUGAAGUAUUGAUAACCUCCUCUAGCUGUCGUGCUCAUUGGCCCACACACAUCAGUAUGUAUGAGUUCCAACAAGUUGGUCGCCCUCUCGCAACUCUUUGCAAAAGGCGACUUGGUCAUCUUGCCUAGUAGACAAGACUCGCAUGUCUCGAAUGAUUCAUAAUCAAACGAAGUUAAAAGUCCAUCUCCAUGGAGCUUCUUCAUGCGUUUGUCACUUAUGUGACCCAAACGACAAUGCCAAAAAUAGGUUUGAUUCAGAUCGUUAGGCUUGCGCCUCUUGACAUUAAUGUUAUAGACAGAUUCUCCUUCAAGAUUAAGGAUGAAUAACCCGUUCGCAAUAGGUGCAAAGCCGUAAAACAUAUCCUUCAAAUAAAAAGAACAACCAUUGCCCUUAAUAUUGAAUUCAUAACCAUGACUCAACAACUUUGAGACAGAUAUAAUGUUUCGACUUAAAGCAGGAACAUAAUAACAAUUAUUUAAUUUCAUAACAAAUCCAGAAGGUAAAUGAAGUUGCAUAGUCCCGGCGGCCAACGCUGCAACUCUUGCUUUAUUGCCAACCCUUAUGUCAACCUCUCCACUUGCGACGCUCCUAGUCCUUGCCAGCCCCUGCAUCGAGUUGCAAAUGUGAACAACCGAUCCGGUAUCCAAUACCCAAGAGCUGUUAGGUGCAUCAGCAAGAUAAAUGUCUAUAACACAUACAACAACCGUACCUGAAGUAGAAGUCACACUUCCACCCUUCUUUGCCACGUGGGCCUGGUACUUGCUGUAGUUCCUCUUCCAAUGACCGGUGCCUUUGCAGAAAAAGCAUAUGGUCUCUGAGUCCGGUCCAGCCUUAGGCGCAGCAGGGGCAGGGGUCGGGAUCACAUCCUUAGCCUUUCCUUUCUUUGCCUUCUUCUUAGCCCAAGAAUUCUUCUUGAACUUUGGCUUUCCCUGUACCAGCAACACUUGCUUGGUAUUUUUCUUGAUAUCCUCCUCAGCUGUUUUAAGCAUCCCAUGCAAUUUGGUGACUUUCUUUUCCAUGCCAUGCAUAUGGUAGUUCUGAACGAACUGCGCAUAGCUCGGCGGAAGAGAUGCCAGAAUUGUAUCCGUGGCCAACUCUUGGCUCAGCGGAAAGCCUAGCUUCUCCAAGCUUUGCGUGUAACCAACCAACUUGAUUACAUGCGGGCUCAAGGGUUCGCCUUCUUUCAGCUUAGUCUCCAGGAAGGACCUCCAGACAUUAAAUCUUUCGGUCCUAGCCUGAGUCUGAAACAUGCCUUUGAGAGUCUCGAUCAUAUCGAAAGCCUCAACAUUCUCAAACUGCUGCUGCAGUUCGGGUUCCAUGUAGGCAAGCAUCAGACAGCUGAUCUCAAUCGACUCAUCACAUGAGCGUUGAUAGGCGUUUCUAACAGCAGCAGUGGCAUUAUCAGCCGGCUCCUCUGGAAGUGGGUUCUCUAUGACAUGUUCUUUCCUAUCGUGCCUGAGAACGAUUCUCAGGUUCCGAUACCAAUUGGUGAAGUUAGUUCCAUUUAGUUUAUCUUUCUCAAGAACAGAUCUCAAAGCAAAACUGGACAAUUGAGGUGGUGCCAUUGAUCUACAACAGAAAAUGCAAAAACACUAAGACAAGUAUUCAUGAAGAGUAAUUCAUAUUAAACACUUUAAUAGAAAUAUACUCCCACUAAAAUCAACAUCCCUCCAUUGAUCAUUAGUGAUUCAAGAUCCAAGAUCAACCAAUCGUCUAGUGAGCUUUAGCAUCACUGCUAGCCGAUUGAAUCACUCGGUAAGCAACUCUUGCCAAUCGUAUCUCUAUACGACUCUUGUUAGUCGGUAGGCAACACUUGCCCCGGCUCCGACUCCUUUCACCCUAAGGCCCAAAACCGUUUUGAUAGCCCCGUCAAGUUAACCAAAGCUUCGCAUGUAAGUGUCCGACACGAACAUCACCAACGACAAGGAAAAAUGGUGAUACCCCAAUUUCAUGAGCCCAUCACCAAAUGUACUUGUCUUGUGGUGUUGCAGCUAUUGGGGAGGUAAAUAAACUUGACAUUCUUUGAGGGAUCAUUUUAUUCUAACACAAUAACAUGCAUAGGAGUAAACAAAGCAUUAACCAUCACAGAUAAUCAAAUUAACAUGUGAAAUAGUAUGGCUCUGUUCUUCAUGGUGAUCUCCAUCUCCAUGAACCUGAUCAUCAAGCCGCCAUGGUGCUCACGUCCUCCAAUUCAUACUAAAUGACUACACCUAGUAUCUAGCAAAGAAUUUACAUGGAGAAUGACAUCAAAUGUCGACACGCAGGUCGUUAUACAAUUAUAAAGACAGCACCUUGGCUCCAGCCUGGCUGACAAACUCACGACACGCAGGUCAUGCAAAUAUUACACACAUGCAUCACAUACAUAUGAGCCAUACUAUUCACAUCAAUCCUGCAAAAACAAGUUAAGCGUAGAAACCUAUUCUACCGAAUUGAUGUGAACUCGCAACGACAACUAAGGCGCUACGAAUAGAUAGCACGGCGGUCCCGCAUUGAUCUAUUCCGAUUUUUAGAUCCAAUCCAAAAUUUCCUUCAUGGAUUUCUAUUCCGAUUUGAUCAAUCGCAUUGAUCUCAUGAAUCGUAUCCGUAUUUAUGUUUCACUGUCUACUCCGAUGGCGGAAAUCCGACCGGUAGGAGUAUGUUAUGUCACGACCUUCUACAUCAUGAUUAUCAGAAUCGAAUAUCCAUGAUCCCCGAGUACAAUGGAUCCAAUCGAUUGAGUACAAAACCGAUCUAACACUUAGAUCGACCACCAAGAUAGAAAAAGAUCACAUCUACUACUAACCGCAUAACACUUAUGCACGUAAUCCGAAUCCAAAACAGACAGCAUCGGCUCUGAUACCACUGUUGGGGAACGCGGUACGCUACGCUAGCACAAAAUAAAAUUUCUACUGCUUCCGCCCGGAACAAUGCUGUAGAUAAUGGAUCACGAGAUUACCACUAGACGCGCAGACCCGUAGCGGAAGUAGAGUCGAUGUAGCGCGUCGAUGCCGAGUAGUCGAACAGCUUGCUCCUCCUCGCCGAUCCCACGAACAGUUCGUCCAAGCGCCGCAGGUGCAGCGCCUCCGAGGUAUCCACACGUGCAGGGAGAAACUCCGUGCGGUGGACUGCUAGAUCCGAUCGCAAGGCUUUGGGCGUGGAGGUGUGACGGCCGAGUCUAACUCGCGUCUGGAUUGGUGUAACCCUAGACGGGUUGGUCUCCUCCACUUAUAUAGACGUCCCUAGUGGGCUCAACACUUGAGGCCCGUUAGGAGUCUAAGCCCGAUACGAGUUGGAUCCGAUCCAACUCGGUUCCCACCCCUUAAGCGUGUGACCCUUCAGGUUCGCGGUCAGUCGGACACGACUACGAGCUCGGACUGCGGGCCCGAGUAACACCUUACUCGUCCACUGGCACCGACUCAAGUCGAUAGUUGGUAGCGGCGCCUAGCAGCACAUGCCAACUCCCAAGUAACCACAAGGUAUAUUGACGAACCAUACAAUGUGUCAUACGCAACAUUCCUUUUGCCUCACGAUAUGUGUGUCGAGCUCAAGGUGAGUGCUUGUCAUCCUUGUGGAUAGCUCGAGUCUCUUCUCGUUCCUGUGAUACAGAUUCCCGAUCGGGUUAACACUUAACCCAAGUCGCAUGGCCAUGCUUUCCGAAUCUGAUCACUCGAGAGGGCCCAGAGAUAUCUCUCCGAACAGGAGGGGCAAAUCCCAUCUUGUUCAACCAUGACUCGCAGCAUGCUUCUCAGCAAACCCGAAAGCUACCUUUAUAACCACCCAGUUACGGAGUAGCGUUUGGUAACCCCUAAGUAGGCCGAUUCACAUCCCAAGCUCAUGCGAUGACCUCAGGUCUAGGACUGGCAUAUACAUCGUACUUGAGACUAACAAAUGACAAUCAUCUCGUUGUGUCUCAGUCUCAGUGCGGGUCUGUCCGACUCCACAAUCUCAUUGUCGAGUCCAUGCUAUCAGUCGGCAACACCUUGCCCUAUGACUUGUGAAACAUAGUCAUCAUACUGAUUCACAUUGCUAGUCUAGAUUAUGUGUCUGCAUAACCUCAAUGACUAGGGACCAUUAGAACAACAUCAUAGAAUACAUAGUCUCACAAACAAAUCACGUAUUUAUUGAUACAUAUCAGUGAUGAUGUUCAAGGACAAUAACAAUAACUCAUGAAUACAUAGGAAAUAACAUCAUCACAUGAUUGCCUCUAGGGCAUAUCUCCAACACCUCUGUUGGCUGUCUACUGGAACCAACUAAUCCUCGAUCUAAUGAGCCGGCGAAGGGGAUUUGUGGAACUGAACGACUGUCCAACUGACCAACUAACCAACAGAGAACCUAGAACCCCUUGACCGUCGGCAUGGGUCCUCCUUUUAUACAUAAGGGGAUGCCACAUGUGCCACGGUGCAUGAGCUACAAGUGUCCAGCGGGGAGGCAUGCAACUCCCCCCGGUGAGCUGGUGGCAUGCAUGGGUGCCACCUCCGCUGCUAGGGGCCUAAGACCCUAGGGUAGGAUUAGACAACGACUGUUCCUUGGAUCGGACGAGUAACUACCCGUCGGUCGGCUCGUUUACUAAGCCGCGCACCUUGCUCCUUGCCUUGGUGGGACCGCACGUCCCGAGCCCACCACGCACCCGCGUGGCGCUGUGAACGGGGCCCCACGCCUGGGGCAGGGGCACGCGCCCGGGAACCCCCAGUCCCCGCAAGUCGACCCCGGGAAGCACCCGGGCCUAACGCACCCGGGAACCCCCUCCCAGGAAGCGGCUUCCCGGGAGGUGCCUAGGCGGGAAUAUUCCCCGAAGCCCCGCUAGCCCCUUUCGGGAUGGUAGCUUGCCGGGGAGCUCAUAGGCGCUCCCCGGGAUGAGACCUUCCCGGGAACCCGGAAAAGGGGCCCACGCGUCGCGCAGCGGUGGUACCCCGGGUGCCACUGGUGCAACAGCCAAGUUCAGCAAGUGUGACUUUUGGCUGUCGGAAGUCAGUUUCCUCGGACACAUCGUGUCAGGAGCAGGAGUAGCUGUCGACCCAGCUAAGGUGACCGCUGUUACGGAAUGGGAGUCACCCAAGAAUGUGGGAGAUAUCAGCAGUUUCCUAAGACUCGCUGGAUAUUAUCGGAGAUUCAUUGAGAACUUCUACAAGAUUGCUAAACCCAUGACUGAACUUUUAAGGAAAGAGAAGAAGUUUACCUGGAACGAGAACUGUGAAGAAAGUUUCCAGGAAUUGAAGAAAAGACUAGUGUCUGCACCCAUCCUUGUUUUGCCUGACCUGCAGGAGGAUUUUCAAGUAUACUGUGACGCCUCACGUCAAGGAUUGGGAGGAGUCUUAAUGCAGAAUGGAAGAGUUGUAGCUUACGCUUCGCAGCAACUAAAGAGCCACGAAGGGAACUACCCCACUCACGACUUGGAAUUAGCAUCAGUAGUGCACGCUUUGAAAACUUGGAGACACUACCUGAUGGGGAAACAUUGUGAAUUGUUCACGGAUUACAAGAGCCUGAAAUACAUAUUCACCCAGAAGGAGUUGAAUCUGAGGCAGAGAAGAUGGUUAGAACUGAUAAAGGAUUAUGAGCUGAGUCUGCAAUACCAUCCAGGCAAGGCUAAUGUAGUAGCCGAUGCUUUGAGCCGCAAGGGAUAAAUGGACUGACAGCUGGAGAGUUACCGCGAGAAUUAUGCAAACAGUUCAAGGACCUGAGACUUGAGAUUGUACCGGAAGGACAUUUGGCCACCUUGGAAGUACAGCCCACUUUGCUGGACAAGAUUAGAGAAGCACAGAAGGGUGACUCGGAAAUAAAGGAAAUAAAGGAGAAUAUAGUUAUUGGAAAGGGCAAAGACUUUCGUGAGGAUGACCAAGGAACCAUAUGGUUCGGCAAACGCAUAUGUGUACCGUAGGAUCUGGAAAUCAGAAAGUUGAUACUGCAAGAAGCUCAUGAUUCACCGUACUCAAUCCACCUUGGAAACACUAAGAUGUACAUGGACCUAAAGGAAACAUUUUGGUGGUCCGGAUUAAAGCGAGACAUCGCAGAGUUCAUUGCUUUGAGCGAUGUGUGCAGUAGAGUUAAAGCCGAACACCAGAAACCAGCAGGAUUGCUAAGACCACUGCCAAUACCAGAAUGGAAGUGGGAUAAAGUAUGCAUGGAUUUUAUCACCGGGUUACCAAGGACCAGAUCAGGAUAUGAUUCCAUUUGGGUAGUGGUUAACCGUUUGACCAAGGUUGCCCAUUUUAUAUCAGUGAAGACGACUUACACCAGCACACAGUUAGCAAAACGCUACAUAUCCAGAAUAGUGUGUUUACACGGAGUGCCCAAGGAAAUAGUUUCAGACGGAGGUACCCAAUUUACCUCAAGAUUUUGGAGACAACUACAUGAGUCUCUAGGAACGAGACUACAAUUCAGCACAGCAUUUCAUCCGCAGACGGAUGGACAAACCGAGACGGUUAAUCAGAUCCUUGAAGACACGUUGAGAGCCUGCGCUCUAGAUUAUGGAACCAGUUGGGAUGACAAUCUGCCGUAUGCGGAAUUCUCAUACAACAAAAGCUUCCAAGUCAGCAUAGGAAUGUCACCGUUUGAAGCUUUGUAUGGGAGGAAGUGCAGAACACCAUUGUUAUGGGAUGGUGUAGGAGAUCGUAGUCUAUUCGGCCCGGAUUUGAUAAAGGAUGCCGAGGAAAAGGUUAGACUCAUCCGAGACCGGCCAAAAGUAGCCCAGUCAAGGCAGAAAAGCUACGCAGAUUCUAAACAUAGGGAAGUCACCUACGAGGCUGAAGAUAGAGCGUAUCUCAGAGUGUCACCGAUACGUGGGGUAAAGAGAUUUGGUAUAAAAGCAAAGCUAGCACCCCGUUUCAUUGGACCUUUCAGGAUCUUGUCACGACAGGGAGAGGUAGCCUACGAGUUGGAUUUACCGGAAGCAUUGUGCAAUGUCCACAAUGUCUUCCAUGUAUCUCAACUGAAGAAAUGUCACCCCGAGAUGGCCGACACACCACUAAGGGAUACGAUACCCCUUGAGGGAGUCCAACUGCAAAGUGACCUCACCUAUGAGGAGAAACCGAUCAAAAUCUUGGAUACAGCUGAGCAACAAACCCGAUCCAAGACCAUCAGGUUUUGCAAAGUUCAGUGGGACCAUCACACUGAAGAGGAAGCCACUUGGGAACGCGAAGAUGAUCUUCGAGAAGACCACCCACACCUCUUUGCUAGCCACACCGAAUCUCGAGGACGAGAUUCAUCUUAAGGGGUUAGGUCAAUAACAUCCCAAAAAUUUCAAACUUUUACAUGUGCAUUGCAUCCAUAAGCAUCAUGGCACAAUUGCAUAUUUGAAUUCAAAUUUGAAUCCCAAAAGCCUUUGGAAAGAUUUUAUUUCAAAUUAAACCUUAGGGUUUACACCCAUUUAAGCUUUGGAUUUUCAAACCAAUAGGGUUUAUGUAUAAAAGGGGUUUAUUGCAUAAAUGAGCUAUCCCAUAAUUUUUGGAAAAUUAUUUGGAGUUGAAAAAAAAACAUUUAUUUAAACAGAUAUAUAGCCCUAAAGGCAUUUACAGGGAAAAUGUAUUUUUAUAUAUUUUAUUUUGAGGGAAAAUCACUCCCAAAAGUUGUAUCAUGAUAGAACAUGAUUUUACAAAUUUUCUGGAAUUUAUUUGGACCAAUUUGGAGUUCAAAAUCAAAAGAUAUCAAAGAAAUAAGAAAAACAGAAAAAGAAAAGGAUAAAGAAAAAAAAGGGGGAAAACCGGACCGCCCGACCGUUUUGGGCCGUACCGGCCCAACAACGCCCGAGCCAGCCUGAACCGGACCGGCCCCGUCCUGAACCGAACCGAACCGGCCGCUACGCGCGCGCCCCCGCACGUGCCGCUGACGAGCGGGCCCCACCCGUCAGAGGGGGUUCUUCCCCAAUGGGCAGGCGCCACCCGUCACGCCGGAAUCUCUGCCCGCGCCGUCUCCGCUGGAUUUCCGGCGAUCCUGUGAUCUCCGUCGCCACCCGAGCACACCGCAAUAAAGCCCUCGACCUCCUCUUUCCUUUCCCCAUUCCCCCGCUCCCGAUUUCACCCCCGGUUCAUCGGAAUUCCUCGCCGGAAUUCGUGCUGCCGCCGGCCGUCUUCCCCAAGACCAGCCACCUCGCCGACCCGCGUUCGCCACGAGCGCCGCCUGCCCGAGCACCCCACGCCUCUCCUCCCCGCGCCCGUCACCGCCGCCCGCCGCCCCGAGCUGCCCCCUACCGCGCCGCUGCGCCGUUCGCCGUCGACCCCCGCCGCCCGUCGCCCCACCUCCUCGCCCGAGCGCCCACCGCCCGCGCCCGUCGCCGUCGCCCGCCGCCCCGAGCGGAGCCCGACUGCGCCGCCAUCAGCCCCCGCCGCCGUCUCCCUUAGCUUCGGCCGCGCGCGCCGCCCUGGGGUAAACCCUAGCCCCCGACCAAUCGCGUCGCGCCACGUGGCAGAGCGAUUUUCCUUUUCUUUUUCGGCUAAGAUUAAAAUUGCACUUUUACAGAUUAGUACCCCUAACUUCAAAGCAUCGUAACUUUUAAACCGUUUGUCCAAAAAUUAUGAUCCACACCUUUCUGGAAUCGUCACAACUUGUAGAAUAUAUUGGCACUGUUCAAAUUCAAAUUUGAAUAAUCUAAACUAGGUCAAUUUACAGAAAGUCUUUAAAUGCCAUUUAAAUCAUAACUAAUUAUCUAAAAAUCAUUUCAAUAUGAAACCAAUGCCCAAAAAUUUGUAUUAAUGUCCUCUGUUCAAUUGGAAUAGAGAAAUAAAAUUGUUUAUUAACUCUUCCAGUUGUUUUUUUAAAUCCUCACUUAAGCUUUAAUUUGACUUUAUACUGAAAACCCUAUUUUGGCUUUUCCUUUUGGAUUAAUUUUGAUUUAACCUUUUGGCCAGAGAAAUUAAAUAUUAUAUGCCUAUGAAAUUGAAACCCUUACUCGACAAAUAAAAUCAACCCAUACAUGUCACAGGCUUGCAUCACAUCAUGGCAUAUUCUUCUUGUAUUGGAUUGUGCGUUUAUUUGUGCGUAUGUUUGCUUCGUUUAGAUUAACCGGAGAGCAACGUGUGUGUUGUGAAGAGUGUAUAUCAAACUACUGUGACAAAGGCAAGUUCACUUUUAUCAUUCCUCCUAUUAUUUGAUUAUGCACUAGUUUUUAUUAGUUGCAUUGUUAGGAUUAUUAUUGUAUCUAUGCUAGCUAUGAGCUGUCCUAGUAGGAUAGGAUACCUUUGCCAUGUCCACACCACCAAUCGCCAUCGUAGUAGUAAAAUGCUAUGCUAUGAUAAUAUACGAGGGUGGUAUUAUUACAAUGUGAGGUUAUUGAAUUAAAGUAUGGUUUUCCUAUUGUAUGGCAAAACAAGUAAUUCAAUGAACCAUCCUGGGUGGGCUGCUUUGAGUUUUGGGAUGUCGUGACGUUAGGUCCAUUUCUAUGGGGCCUGCUGAGUCGUCUCUCCGUGAGAUUCGGGAGCGUCCAUGGUCAUCUCCCCGUGCGAUUCGGGGAGCGCCUGCGUCACAAUGUGGGAUGCCACCCGGGAUAACCAGAGACUGGACUAGUUUUCCUGUUUAGUCGCUUCCAGUACAACCACAUGGUAAUAUGCGCUCUGCCAGGAUGGAUGUAAGACAUAUGAUCCUGGAUCCGAGGGAUUGUGCAGAUGUAGCCGUGUAGGUGGGAACGUAGGUCCCUCAGGUGGUCUGGGUGAUUAUGGUCUGAAAAUUCCUGGAAUCGAUGCCGUUGCUACUCUACCCUGAGGACAGCAAGGGAUUAACACGUCGAUUUCUGUGGGGAAUAUGUAAAACCUCUCGAGAGUGUCAAACUAAGUACUUAGCCGUGUCCCCGAUUACGAACAAUUAUGAGCAACUAGAUAUUGGAGCUGUAAGGAAGGUCUCACUCAUUCCAACUUCUUAAAUAAAAUGAAUGGUUUGAACAGGGUAGGAGCACUUGAUGUUUCUACUCAAUGUGCUCUAGGUUAAUAGGAGCAUGGGUGUUUCUAUCCCGUGUCCAUUAGUUAACAAUUAUUGUAACAUUCCAAUGUAGUAGGAUAAACUAUGUUUUGCUACCACGCCAUAAAGCCUGAACCCCACUAUACCUCAAUUGCAUAUACCUGGUAGGAUCUGUUAUACCUUCCUGGUGAGCUUGCCAAUACAUUCAAAUGUAUUGACCAUGUGGUGGCUGCAAUUAAUGAUGCAGGUGAAACUGACGAAGAGUGAGGUUCGUCGAUAUUCUUUGGGUCAUGUGCUUACAUUCCAACAUGCUCUCUCCUCUGGGAGUAGAUGAGGCCCAUUUGCUCUACCUUUCCGCUGCAGCUUUAUGAUACAAUGUUAUCAUGGUUUUGAACAUUAUUUGUUUAUGCUGGCCUAAGAGGUCAUGCAAGUUUGUAAGUGGUUGAUGCAGGAAUGUACGAGAAUGUAGUUCGCUAUCCUGCGAGACCUCCUGCUCCUAAGGGACUACAUGCGUUUCCAGUGGAUGGGUUUACUCCAGCACGUGGCCCACCAAGAGUGUUCAAGAGUACGUACCUUCCGCGUCAGUUCCUGUACGGGGAACAGAAGGCAGAUGCGUACGUGUUCCCUUACUCUCUGCAGCUACUCCUGAGGUUCUGACAGCUUUGUCAGGAUAGGUCUCUUGUAUCCGUAGUUCCAUCUAUGGCCACACUCCUAUGCGUUAUGAAUUGCAAGAUGAGUAGUGUAAUCUUUCCUUUGUUUUGCAUGAUUGUAAUCACUAAAUCUUUGGAUGGCACUAUGUGGUAUCUCAGACUUCAUGUUGUCCUUUAAUCCUGUCUUUGAGGUUUACGUCAUGCAUUAUGUUUCAACCAUGGUGUAAAUCAUUGUGCAAACAGGAUGGCACCUGUUCGUCGUGAUCCUCCUCCUCCACCUGAGUUGGGCAACAUACUGCUUCAGAUGGGACAAAUCCUUGAGCGUAUGAACAACCAGCAAAACAAUCAAGGCAACAACGCAAGCAAUGGAGCUAAUGACAGGGUUUCCAUCAAGGAGUUCCUUGCUCUCAAUCCAAGGAUGUUCUCUCUACCUUCAGAACCACUUGCUGCUGACGAUUGGCUUCGUGAGAUGGUCCACGCUCUAUGCACGGUUCGUGUGGCAAAUGAGGACAAGGUUCCUUUUGCGACCUACCUCCUCCGAGGUGAAGCAGCCGCAUGGUGGGAGAAUUUCCAAGCCUCCAAGCACCCUGAUGAAGUCAUCACUUGGUUUGACUUCCAGGACGCUUUCCUAAAGCACCACAUCCCAGCUGGUCUGAUGGACAGAAAGCGUGAGGAAUUCUGCAGUCUGACUCAGGGCAAGAGUUCCGUUCUCGAAUACUGCAAGGAUUUCAACCGUCUUGCUCGCUACGCUGGCGAUGAGAUCUCUACUGACUUAAAGAAACAAGAAAGAUUUCGCAAGGGUCUCAGUCCGUCGGUCAAGGAUGCUCUCAAUCUCAUCAGGUGCAAUUCUUUUGAAGACUUGGUCAAUACUGCUCUGCAAGCUGAACAUGGCCGUGCAUAGUUUGAGGAUUCUCACAAACACUCUCGUGAUACUGGGUCUUCUUCCUCAGGCAACAACAAUGCUGGUUCUCAAAAACGGAGGUUGUGGGUUCCCAACAACUGGGUCCCUCUGAGUCGAGUUCAUGUGGAUUCAGGAAUGGAUCAUCCAUGGACGUCUCUCCCGUGGAUUCGGGGAGCGCCUACAUUGCAAAUGUGGAAUGCCACCUGGGCUAACCGAGACUGGACUAGUUUCCUAUUUAGAAGCUUCAAAUACAACCACAAUGCUAUAUGGGCUCUGGCGAGACAAGAGUAAGUUGUAUGAACCUAGACCCAAGGAAUUGUACUGAGGUAGCCGUGUAGGGGGAGCGUGAUUCUCUCGUGGUUUAGGAAAUUACCUCUAAAAAUCUCGUAAUCGAUGCCGUUGCUACUCUACCCUGAGGACAGCAAGGGAUUAACACGUCGGUUUCUUGUGGGGAAUGUGUACAAACUCUCGAGAGCGUCAAAACUAAGUACUUAGCCGUGUCCCCGGCAACGGACAAUUUGAGCAACUAGAUGUGGAGCUGUAAGGAAGUCUCACUCAUUCUAACUUCUUAAAUAAAAUGGAUGGUUGAACAGGGUAGGGGCACUUGAUGAAUCCACAUCAAUGUGCUCUAGGUUAAUAGGAGCAUGGGUGUGUCUACCCCGUGUCCAAUAGUGAUAAAAUUCUAUUUGAUUAAAAGAUAAGACUCAAUAACUAAGCUUUGAAGCAAAUAGCCUUGAACCCCACUUUGCCACAUUAUGCAUAUAUUUGGUAGGCUCUGGCAUAACUCCUAGUGAAUCUUGCCAAUACAUUCAAUGUAUUGACCCUAGUGGCUGCAUCGUUUAAUGAUGCAGGAAGCUCCUACGACGAGUAAGAUGUACGUUAUGCUUGUUUGGGUUACGGGCCUACAUUCCAACACGCUCUCACCGUGGUGUUGAUGUGCCCUUGCAUCUUUCGCUUUUCCGCUGCUAAACAGUUGUUUUACUUCUAGCUAACCCGUGAGGUUAUGCGAGUUGUAAGUACCUUUAAAUUCUGGAUGAUUCGUUGUAAUAUUGUGACCUUUGUUCUAUGAUAUUACAUCUUGAAACUGUGUGUGCUAGUGAGUCGAUCCAGGGACUAGCACUAAAGCACAGAGAUCGAAUCCGUAUACGGGGGCGGUCGCUUCAGAUGGUAUCAGAGCAAUGUGUUGCCUAUAGGAACGUGACCCUAGCAUGGAUUAGACCAUAGGAUUGUUCUAUGCAUUUCAUACCACUCUAAACUUGCACAUUGAGAUACAUGCAUAUUCAUAUACACUUGCAAUCAUACCAAUGUCCAAUGCAUAUGUACUACUUGUGUUUUACUUCAUCCACUUGCAUCUUCAGAUUUUAUAUGCAUUUAUAUAUACACCUUAUACUACAAUGUCAUGCUUUCUACUAUUACAAUCAUACGUCAUGUUUGCAUAACAUACACCUUAUAUUGUCAUCAUUACAUUUAUGCAUCCACCCACUUGAUCAUGUGACUAAUUCUUUCCCUCCACCAUAAAUCUUGUAGAUGAAUGGACCACCAAAUUUCGGAGAUGAACCACCUUUCACACACGUCCAUUACCCGACAGUUGACGACGACAUCCCAUUUGGGAGACAGCUUGCUACUUUGUGCACGACACUGCACCUGGCAGCACCCUGUUUCCGAGGACGUGUUGAGCCGGUGGGAUCCCAGGGAGGUGCAGCCGCUGGGAGAUCGACACGGAGAUCAGAGGACGGACUGUUGUUCCAUUGACGCCCGAGAUCACCUACUCCGUGCGCUACCCAGACUUCAUGCUGGGACUCCAGUUCGCCAUGCAACAUGCGUUAGCUCGUGUGUGCGAGGCGUACCACGAUGAACUGCCUCCGGACUCUGUCUUUCGUAGCUUCGGAAGGCGAGUUGUUGGCGGGAAUGCCGUGGGACCGGAGAUCCUAGGCGAGGAUCCGCACAUGGAAGAUGUUCAGUUUCAAGCUUUGGAGUAGAACAUGGUGGACAUGGGGAAGAGUCUCUACAACGAGAUGACCCGAGCAGACAUAGCUGAAGACCAGGUGGGGAUACUCCAAGGUCAGCUGGCGCAGAAGACAAACGAGGCGAACCGCAGGGGAGAUGUUAUCCUGAACAUGCAUGCGAUCAUGGAGCAGAUUAUGUACGAGAAGGAUCUUCUGCAACUUCAGUAUGAUCAGCUCCAAGCCCAAGUCAAUAACGCCAACCCCGCACCUGCACCAGCACAAGCUCCACCACCCCUCAGGACGAGGAGAUGGAGCCACAGGAGGAGGAACCUCAGGAGGCGCAGGAGAUGGACACACUUGCCACCCACACCCGUUCCAGGGCGAAGAACUCUGGGAACACCAACUUCCUUUCACUUCGUUAGUUUCAGUUUAGAGCCCGCCAGAAUAUUUAUUAUAUUAUAUUCGUUAUCGUCUUAGUCAUUGACCAUGCCGUCGUUGUGGUAUGGCAAUGUAGAUUCAUGUGUUUAUUUGCAACUCUAUACUUGUGUUUAGGCUGGUACGCCUGGUGAACUAUUUGUUUUGGAUGUUAAAAUUUUAGUGAAUGCUUUUGCUUGCUUUAUAGUUGACUUGUUUCAUGAGUGAAUCGUCAUGCUUGUGUUAUGAUUGUGUUUGAACUGUUGUAUUGCUUGUGUUGUGGGGCUUAGUUUCCCUUAGACCCUGUCUAUCUAUUUUCUCAUCUAUGCUGUCCCGAAACAGAUGCCGCCAAGACACGAUACUCGCCGGGAUGCCGACAACAAUGAGGAGGGUCAGGACAACAACGCCGCCACUAUGCAGCAACUGCUGGCUGCACAGACUUAGAUUGUGCAAGUUUUGACCCAGCAGAUGAACAACAACCACAACAAUCAGAACCCCAACCCACCACCUCAAGUGGACAUGUUAACUAGAUUUCUGAGGCUGCGUCCACCAACAUUCACCAGCUCCCCGGAACCGACUGUAGCUGAUGAUUGGCUCCGUUCCGUGAGCAAGUGUCUAGUGACAGUUGGCUGCAAUGAAGCUGACAAGGUGAGGUUUGCUGCUCACCUACUCCACACCAGAAGCCGCGCACCUCGUACGAGGGUAGUGGCAGCUCUUCGAUGGUUAAGCAUGGUGGAAAUCAUCAGAGUCACCAUGGAGGGAGUGGACGUCAUCACCGCCAUGGAAAUCAAGGACACCACCACCACCACCAGGGAGGUAAUAGCAGCCGAAACCACCAACACCAACACCAGCACCAGCACCAGCAUCCAAGGAUCAACAACAACAAAGGCAGUGGCCAAAACAAUGGAGGAAACCCAGGACAGAACCGCACCACUGGCAGGGAUAUGAACCAAGUGCAAUGCUUUAAGUGCCACAAGAUGGAGCACUACUCCAAUGAUUGUCCGGAGAAGUUCAAUGAGGCUGGAGCAAAGCCUAACCCAUUUCAGAAGGGCAAUGUGAACCACGUCAACGUGGAAGAAAUCACGGAGGAGCAAGGUAUCGUAAUUGGCACUUUCCGUCUAAACUCUUUUGAAGCACUCGUACUGUUUGAUACCGGUGCAUCGCAUUCCUUUAUCUCAAGGAGUUUCCUGCAUGAGAAUGGAUUAACCACUAGUACCUUAGUGAACCCUAUGAAGGUGAAAUCACCUGGGGGAGAGAUGAUAACGGCUCAUGAAUGCCGAAUCUGACACUAGAAAUUGGAAAACACAUUUUCCCCACAGACCUGAUAGUGUUAGGAUCAAAAGGUUUGGAUGUGAUCCUAGGAAUGGAUUGGCUAGCCAAGUAUGAAGGACUUAUAGACUGUGUCAAGAGGACAAUCACACUCACAACCCCGGAAAAGAAGCGAAUCCGCUUCAAGUCAACCUAUGAGCUUGAGUUACCCAAGGUAAAUUCUCUUAAGGGGGUUAGCCUAGAGGAUGUACCGAUAGUGAAGGAAUAUCCGGAUGUAUUUCCAGAGGAAUUACCAGGCAUGCCACCGGACCGAGAUGUGGAAUUUCUUAUUGAGUUAAUGCCAGGAAGUGGACCUAUAGCCAAGAGACCGUAUAAGAUGGCCGUAGAUGAAUUGAAAGAGCUGAAGAAGCAACUUGCAGAACAGUUGGCCAAAGGAUUUAUUCGUCCUAGCUCAUCACCAUGGGGAGCACCUAUUCUUUUUGUGGAAAAGAAAGACAAAAGCCAAAGGAUGUGCAUAGACUAUCGUUCACUAAAUGAGGUGACGAUAAAGAACAAGUACCCACUACCCAUAAUCAAUGAUCUAUUCGAUCAAUUGAAAGGAGCCUGUGUUUUCUCAAAGAUCGAUCUUCGAUCAGGUUAUUUUAGUUAAAGAUCCGAGAAAUGGAUAUACCCAAGACAGCAUUUACCACUAGGUAUGGCCUGUAUGAGUACACAGUGAUGCCUUUUGGAUUAACCAAUGCCCCGGCAUACUUCAUGAAUAUGAUGAACAAGGUAUUGAUGGAAUAUUUGGAUAGGUUUGUCGUAGUAUUCAUCGACGACAUUUUAAUCUACUCGAAGAGCAAAGAAGAACAUGAAGAACAUUUGCGUCUGAUCAUGGAGAAGCUUAGAGAGCACAAGCUUUAUGCAAAAUUCAGCAAGUGUGAAUUUUGGUUGUCUGAAGUUGUUUUUUGGGACACAUUGUGUCAGGAAAUGGAAUUGCCGUCGACCCCGCUAAAAUAGCAGCGAUGACUGAAUGGGAAGUCCCUAAGAACGUCGGAGAUGUUCGGAGCUUCCUAGGACUAGCUGGAUAUUACAGGAGGUUCAUAGAGAAUUUCUCCAAGAUUGCCAAACCUAUGACUGAGCUUUUGAAGAAAGAAAAGAAGUUUGAAUGGACGGAAAAAUGUGAAGAAAGUUUUCAAGAUUUGAAGAAGAGGCUAGUAUCAGCACCCAUCCUUGUUUUGCCCGACUUACUAGAAGAUUUUCAAGUGUACUGUGACGCUUCGCGUCUAGGAUUGGGCUGUGUUUUGAUGCAAGGAGGAAGAGUCGUAGCAUACGCCUCAAGACAACUUAAGAAUCAUGAAAGAAAUUACCCCACUCAUGAUUUGGAACUAGCAUCUGUAGUACACGCACUCAAGACUUGGAGGCACUAUCUCAUGGGAAAGCAAUGUGAGUUAUUCACCGAUCAUAAGAGCUUGAAGUAUAUAUUCACACAGAAGGAAUUGAACUUGAGACAAAGAAGAUGGUUAGAGUUAAUCAAGGAUUAUAAUUUGAAUCUUCAAUACCAUCCAGGCAAGGCUAACGUAGUAGCUGACGCUUUGAGCCGCAAGGGCUAUGUUAAUGGACUCACGGCUCGAGAGUUACCUGCUGAAUUGUGUGAACAAUUCAAGGAUCUCAGAUUGGAGUUAGUCCCGGAAGGUUACUUAGCCAACAUGGAGGUACAACCCACUUUGCUGGACAGAAUUAGAGAAGCCCAGAAAGAAGACUCAGAAAUUAGAACGAUAAAGGAUAAUAUGGCAAUCAAAAAAGCAAAAGGAUUCAUUGAGGAUAACCAAGGUACUGUAUGGUAUGAGAAGCGUAUUUGUGUACCACAAGACCCCGAGAUCAGAAAGCUAAUACCACAGGAAGCUCAUGAUUCACCGUACUCAAUCCACCCCGGUAAUACAAAGAUGUACAUGGACUUGAAAGAAAGGUUUUGGUGGACCGGAUUGAAGCGAGAAAUCGCUGAGUAUAUCGCUCUGUGUGAUGUUUGUAGCAGAGUCAAGGCUGAACAUCAGAAACCAGCUGGAUUACUACGACCAUUGCCAGUGCUAGACAGGAAAUGGGAUAAAGUAGGCAUGGAUUUCAUCACUGGCUUGCCAAGGACAAGAUCGGGUUAUGAUUCAAUAUGGGUAGUAGUCGACCGUUUGACCAAGGUUGCCCAUUUCAUACCUGUGAAGACCACCUAUACAAGUGCACGGUUGGCCAAACGAUACAUGUCUAGGAUUGUAUGCCUACAUGGAGUUCCUAAAGAGAUCGUUUCAGACAGAGGUACCCAAUUUACCUCAAGAUUUUGGGGGCAAUUGCACGAAUCUCUAGGCACGAGACUAGAGUUUAGCACAACGUUCCAUCCACAAACAGAUGGACAAACAGAAAGAGUGAACCAAAUUCUUGAAGAUAUGUUAAGAGCUUGCGCUCUGGACUAUGGAUCUAGCUGGGAUGAGAAUCUACCAUAUGCAGAGUUCUCAUACAACAACAGUUUUCAAGCGAGUAUUGGAAUGGCACCAUUCAAAGCUUUGUAUGGCAAGAAAUGAAGGACACCAUUGCUAUGGGAUGGUGUAGGAGACCGUAGUCUAUUUGGACCCGACAUGAUAAAGGAUGCUGAAGAGAAAGUCAGGCUAAUUCGAGACAAACUUAAGAUAGCUCAAUCCAGGCAAAAGAGUUAUGCGGAUUCCAAACGAAGGGAGGUCACCAAUGAGGUUGGUGACAGAGCGUAUCUCAGAGUUUCUCCGAUACGCGGAGUUAAGAGAUUUGGGAUUAAAGGAAAAUUAUCGCCACGCUAUAUUAGACCCUACAAGGUUCUAGCACGCCAAGGAGAGGUAGCUUACAAGUUGGAGUUACCUGAAAAGUUGACAAGUGUCCACGACGUUUUCCACGUGUCACAGUUAAAGAAGUGCCACCCGGAAAUGGCCGAUACGCCACUAAGGGAUACAAUUUCACUUGACGAAGUUGAGAUUCAAAGCGACCUCACAUAUGAAGAGAAACCAACCAGGAUCUUGGAAACAGUGGAAAGACAUACUCGUUCCAAGACAAUCAUGUUCUGCAAGGUUCAAUGGAGUCACCACACUGAAGAAGAAGCUACGUGGGAACGCGAGGAUGAUCUUCGAGAAGACCACCCACACCUUUUUGCUAACCAAUAGGAAUCUCGAGGACGAGAUUCAUCUUAAGGGGGUUAGUUCUGUAACAUCCCAAUUUUUCAAAACUCUUCAUAUGCAUUGCAUAUCAUAAGCAUCAUGUCACCCUUGCAUUUGAUCACUUUCAAAACCCUAAAAUUUGCCCAGAAAACCCUUUUGCAAAAAUGCUUAUAUUUGAUUUUGGGCUUUGAUCUUGCUCUUGAGUAUUUGCAUUUUAACCCAUGAGGGCAUUGUGGUAAAAAGGGAUUUAAUGCAUAUAUAGAGCUAUCCCAUAAAAUGGCUUUUGAAACUAUUUUGAAAAAUAAUUUGUUUCGAUAGCCUGAGGCCCUAAAAGCCAUUUAUAGGCAAAUGUAUUUUUAAAUAUUUUAUUUUGAGGAAAUUCUUCUUCCAAAAGUUAGAUCAUAUGAAAAUUUGAUUUUACAAAUUUUUUUGCAUUUUAUUUUGGAGUGAUUUGGAGCUUCGAGUCAAUUUUAAGGUUCAAAAACAGAAAAUAGAUAAAAGAAAAGGAAAACCGAGAAAACCAGUCACACCGGACAGGACCGAACCGGACCGAACAAGUCAAACCGGACUGAACCGGACCGGCCCCGCCCGAACCGCCCGGUCUCCCUCACCGACCGGUGGGACCCGCGCGUCAUCUUCUUCCUCAACUGCCUCCGGAUUCCAUGCCACGCACGACUCCGAGUCGCCCACGAUUCCGUUCUGAUUUCUUCGCGCACGAAUCACCAAAUCCGAAACCCCGCGCGUCAUAUCAAAGCCCUCGAACUCCUCUACCACUUCCCCCAAACCCCACGAUCAAUUUCGCACCGGUUAGAGAUUAAUUGCUCGCCGGAGUUCGUUGCUGUCGUUGCCGUUCUUCGCGUUUUUCCGUCUUUCCGGUGAGAUUCCGCCCGCGCCGACCCCAUCUCCUUCCUCCCCUCCGCAUCGCGAACACCGUGACGUGCUCGCUUUUGAGUUUGGCCGCCGCCGCCGCGCCCCGCCCUGCCCCGCGCCGGCCAUCUUCUCCGCCUCCGGCCGCCUGCGCUGCCCGCACGACCUGCCUGCGCUGCCCGCACGACCUGCCUGCGCCGCCCGCGCCCCUGCCCCCGCGCGCCGCUUGCCGUCCGCCGCCCCGCGCCAUGCCCGCGCCCCGCGCCGCCACCGGCCGGAACCCUAGCCCGGGCCAAUCGGUUGCCGCCACGUGGCGAGAUUCUUUUUAUUUCUUUUUCGGCCGAAAUUAAAGUUGCAUCUUUUGCAGAAAAGUCCGCGAUACUUGAAAGCCUCAUAUCUUUCAAAGCGUUUGUCCAAAAAUUGUGUUCCACACCUUUCUGGAAUCGUCACAACUUGUAGAAUAUUUUGGCGCUAUCUAAUUUCAGUUUUGAACAACUUAGUCAGAAGCAAUUUACAGAAUGGUGGUUUAUGGUUUAAAUUUCAAAUGAAUUGUUUCAAAAUAGUUUUGAGCAUGUUAGCUUGCUAUAAAAUUAUUUAAACUUGUUCUCUGUCCAUUAGUACCAGAAAAGAAAUUGUUUUGUGAAUAAAAAUGGCAUACAAGUUAAAUUUUGCUCUAUGUUGCAAAAGCCGCACAAUGUUUUGUUUCAAACCCUAUUCAUGUUUCAUACAUAUUAAUUACCACUUUGUUGUUGUAUAAUCUGUCCAAAUCUUUUGAAAAAAAUUCAAAAUAGAAACAACACUUCGUGCUUAGAAGUAACCCUAGCGUGCAUCAUCAUGGCAUAUGCAUCAUGGCAUGGCUUUUGCAUUGAAUGUUGCGUUUAUUGUGUGUAUGUUUCUUUUAUUUUAGGUUGUGUGGAGUGUAAUCAUUGUUGUUGCGAAGAGUGCGAGAACUACCACAACCUUGGACAAGGCAAGUUCACUUUGAUCAUUCUCCUAAAUAUUUUUACUAUGCACUAGAUGCUUAUUAGUUGUAUCAGGAAUAUUACUCGUACUUCUAUGCUACCUAUAAAUCCCAGGUAGUAUAGUUUACUCUCGCCAUUACCUUGCUACCAAAAUUGUCAUCGUUUGUAGUUGAAUGCUAGGCUAUGGUAGUAUCGUGGGAGAAAUAACUAGAUUAUGAUAUUGUUAUGCCUUUGGCGAUAUGAAAUGUUUUGUUAGAUGUAAGACAAAACAAUUAAUUCAAUGAACCGUCCUGGGUGGGCUGCUUUGAAGAUUUGAGAAUUAGCGGCGUCAGGUCCAUUUCUAUGGGUCCCUCUGAGUCGAGUUCAUGUGGAUUCAGGAAUGGAUCAUCCAUGGACGUCUCUCCCGUGGAUUCGGGGAGCGCCUACAUUGCAAAUGUGGAAUGCCACCUGGGCUAACCGAGACUGGACUAGUUUCCUAUUUAGAAGCUUCAAAUACAACCACAAUGCUAUAUGGGCUCUGGCGAGACAAGAGUAAGUUGUAUGAACCUAGACCCAAGGAAUUGUACUGAGGUAGCCGUGUAGUGGGAGCGUGAUUCUCUCGUGGUUUAGGAAAUUACCUCUGAAAAUCUCGUAAUCGAUGCCGUUGCUACUCUACCCUGAGGACAGCAAGGGAUUAACAUGUCGGUUUCUUGUGGGGAAUGUGUACAAACUCUCGAGAGCGUCAAAAGUAAGUACUUAGCCGUGUCCCCGGCAACGGACAAUUUGAGCAACUAGACGUGGAGCUGUAAGGAAAGUCUCACUCAUUCUAACUUCUUAAAUAAAAUGGAUGGUUGAACAGGGUAGGGGCACUUGAUGAAUCCACAUCAAUGUGCUCUAGGUUAAUAGGAGCAUGGGUGUGUCUACCCCGUGUCCAAUAGUGAUAAAAUUCUAUUUGAUUAAAAGAUAGGACUCAAUAGACUUGUUCUAUGCAUUUCAUACCACUCUAAACUUGCACAUUGAGAUACAUGCAUAUUCAUAUACACUUGCAAUCAUACCAAUGUCCAAUGCAUAACUACUGCUUGUGUUUUACUUCAUCCACUUGCAUCUUCAGAUUUUAUAUGCAUUUAUAUAUACACCUUAUACUACAAUGUCAUGCUUUCUACUAUUACAAUCAUACGUCAUGUUUGCAUAACAUACACCUUAUAUUGUCAUCAUUACAUUUAUGCAUCCACCCACUUGAUCAUGUGACUAAUUCUUUCCCUCCACCCACUGAAUAGAACCCAACCAGGACUGAUCUGAAUUCGAACCCUUUGACCGCCGGUGGGGAUUCUCCUUUUAUACUCAAGGGGAUACCACAGGUGCCGCCGCGCAUGCAUUACAAGUGUCAAACAGGGAGGCAAACAACUCCCCUUCGGUGAGCUGGUGGCACGCAUGGACGCCACCUCCGCUGCUAGGGGUCUAAAACCCUAAAAGUAGGAUUGGACAGCCACUGUUCACCUGAUUUGGACGGGUAACGCCCCUCCUGUCGGCUCAUUUAAUGCGCCGUGCGCCUCACUCCUCGCCCUAGGAAGGCCGCGCACCUGACGCUCGCCACGCGCCCGCGUGGCGCUGUUGCUCUGCCCGCUGGGCCCCACCCUUGAGGCGGGAGCCCGCGCCCGGGAACUCCUCCUCCCGGCAAGCCACUCCCCGGGAAACGCCUGGGUCCAACACACCCGGGAAACCCCUCCCGGGAAGCGGCUUCCGGGGAGGUGUCCAGGCGGGAAUAUUCCCCGAAGCCCCGCUAGCCCUUCCGGGCUGGAAGCUUGCCGGGCUGCUCGUGGCUGCUGCCCGGGACGAAAUCCUCCCGGGAACUCGGAGACGGGGCCCACGCGUCGCGCAGCGGUGGUACUCCGGGUGCCACUAGUGCGACACGGAUCAAUGCGAUGAGUAGGAGUCAUAGGGAUAUAUGCUUAAUGUGCCCAGAUACUCGAGAAGUCGAGUCCAGUUAAUCGCUCUAGGGCGAAUACAACACUAGCUUUCAUCAGCAUUUGAGUCCCCGGGCUCGAACCUGGCAACUAGCGAAUUUCGACUUAGCCUACUGGGGCCUUAUAGAGUCGAAUUCCAGUUUUUAAGUACUUGACUCGUUCGUCAAGAUUGCUUGUACUGGAAAUACGCAGCAGGUACGUUUCUAGGCCCUACAGAAAGCCUACGGGUCUUAUCUUCAUGUAAUGAACAUGGCUGUAGGGAGCGACCCUUAAGCGAGAAUUAUUAUUGGAGGGAUGUAGUCGAUGCAUAUCCAGGCUUAAAUUUUAGAACUUACCUUCAUACAAUGAGUAUGGACUCGACUGAAAUAACGUAGCUGGUAUGAUUCCAGGACCGAUAGAGAACUUUCAGGUCUUAUCUUCAUGCAAUGAGCAUGGGUUUGCUGAAAUACGUAGCUGGUACAAUUUCAGGCUCGAUGGAAUGAUCCAUGAGGCUUAUCUUCAUGCAAUGAGCAUGGGUUUACUAGAGCAGCGCAGCUGGUACGGCUCCAGGCACUUUGGACGAAAUCCAAGAGGCUUACUGUUAUGCGAAUGAGCAUAAACAACCGAGGUGACACAGCUGGUGCGACCCAAUUGAGUCGACUAUAUGAAAUCGAUUGUUUUGUGUCAGGGUCAUUACCCUGUUUUUACUGUUGUAAGUAAAGAAUAAACAAUUCCUGAAUGUAUGAAGUCUUUAGCUAGUAUAAAGCAACAGCUGGUUAGUUCGCGACUCGAAUGAGAGUCCUAGUAUUCACAGUCGAGACUCAAGACGAGUUUCAACAUUUGAGAUGAACUCCGUCAUCCUGUAUGAAAGAUAGUUUCGAGUCAUGAUAUUCGAGUCAGACUUCAUCACUGAUGACGUACCUGUUAGAGGCGAAGAGCCGUUGGGUCAGCCGAUGUGACCGGGUACACAGACUAGCCUGACAGCUAGGCGCACUGUUGGCGUGCAUCAAUGGGAAAACAAUCACACUUCGUGCAGUAAAUGUGCCAUAAUGAUUUCAUCGAUUCUUGCGCCCAAAACAUGGGUGGCCGUUUUUGUUUUCACCGCUUCACAUCCCGAUCGAUGUGGGACACGUGGCCAAGAUAAGGAUCUUGUGGCUCGGUUUCUUCACCAGGAUCCAGCCCAUAUAAGGAGGAGGGUGGAAAGGGAAUGCCUUUUACCCUUCUUCUUCAACCCAGUUCAAGUGCUCGAACUCUAUGCCUCCAUAGCCAACAGCUUUUACGCGAAAUUCUUCAGCGGCCAAGAAUCUCACACCAUUAGGAGAUGGGCAAGACCAAGGCCGCGGAUUCGAAGACUGACGCCAUCAAAGGAGAUUCUGGCAAGGGAGUCAUCCCUUGGCCCGGCGUGGCUGCCAACAUGUCAAGAUCCUGGAACUCCAGGAUGAGGGCUUGCUGCCAGGAGGCCCUGACGUGGUUCUCUUCCCGGAAAAGGAGGAGUAACCGCGACCUUUGCUAGGUGAGCGGUUUGUCUUCCUUGACUAUGUGCUACGGGGGCUUUCUUCUCCCCUUCACGCCUUUUUCCAUGCUAUGCUCUUAGCCUAUGGGCUGCAGCUUCACGAUCUGCCCCCCAACUCCUAUUUGCACGUUGCGUGCUUCAUUACGCUGUGGGAAUGCUUCUUGGGGGUGAGCCCACAUUGGGGGCUCUGGAAGCGGAUCUUUAUGAUCGCCAGAAGGCGGACGCCGUUGGGAGCAUCAACUUCCAGGUGAGGCCCGACGCCAAAUAUUUCUUCCCCAGUAGCGUGAAUCUGUGCAAGGCUGGAGGUCGAAGUGGUUCUAUGUCCAAGCUAAUGCCUCGGGUGCCGAUCCAAGUUUUCCUGCCUUCUCAAUCAAGAAGAAGACAAAGAAGACGGCGGCAUGGAGCCAUGAACUGACACCUGCAGAGGAGUCUGAGGCGACCUCCCUGAUGGUUAGGAUGCACUCCCUUAUGGGACAGGGGCUGACAGGUGUUCACCUGAUAGCUCUGUUCCUCAAGAUGAGGAUCCAGCCGCUGCAGGCUCGCGUUCACCCAAUGUGGUCCUUCGAAGGGCCCGGGGAUCCCACUCGGGUGAACGCGGAAGAACUAUCUUUGAACGAAUUGGAGUCGCAGGUGUGAAUGUUGACGACCUUGACCGACGCGACUCCCUGCAAGUUCGACUCGCCAGUAGUCCCUUAUGGCCCUGAUAGGCCGAGGGAAGAGGUAAUUUAGAUUUCUGCUAUUUUGAGCUUGUAUUUGUAAGCUACGGACUAGUUUGCUGGUUGUAGGGACUCGAAGAUCCCUUGAGUCAACCUCCUCCUGCUAGGGAGGAAGAGCUAGCUGACGAGUCCUCGGAGUCGCCGGAAUAGGCUAGCGACUCCGAGACUGAAGAAGUUGCCCUGGAGACAGGGAGGAAGCGCAGCAGGGACUCGAAACCGAAGUCUGAUGAUCAGUCAACGGGUGUCGAAGGUCCACCCGCUGCGACCUCGUCUCCUCCUCCUUCAGCUAAAAAGACCAAGACAAGCAAUGUCUUCCGGUCCUCCGUGACGAUGAACUCCGACUUGAGCCCGUCCCGAAACCGGAACGAGACCCCGGAAGACAUCGCCUCGCCCUUCUCGACCCGAGGGUAGUAGUAGUGGCGGAAUAACGCCACGGGCGGUAUCACCCCCACAAACGCCUCGCAGAGGUACUAGAAGACCGCAGGCUUGAAGAAGGAAGUGGAUUGGAGCUGCGCCAGCUGGAGACAGUAGGCAGAGAGGAUGGUCUGACCCGACGGGCAGGACGCACAUCGGGCCAUGAUCGUGGUGCUUGAUGGCGAGCGCCAGGUGUAACAUCCCAAUUUUUCUAAUUUGGAUGUUAUUACCUUUUUCAUGUCACAUGCAUAUCAUUUUGACCAUAUUUGAGUUUGGAGAUGAUCUUAUAAUUUAAUUGGGAGUUUCUUUGGACCUUAAAAGUGAUUAUAUGCAUUUGUUGGAAUUUAUUUGAGCUGCAUAUGCAAUAAAAAUAUUUUUAUAUAUUAUAUUCCAUGAGGAAACUAUUUUUCCUAGCUUCCAAACAGGUAUUUGGAAUUUCAGGAAUUUUCUGGAUGCCGUUUGGUAUUUUAUUUGCCUUAUUUGAUUUUCUGGCGAUUUAGAAACCCAGAAAAGCUAUUUCUUUCUUUGUUUUUCUUUUUCUUCCGUGGAGUACGUUUUCUCUGUAUGGAGGCGUAUUCUCGUGAAACCCGUUUCCACGUAAGUGUACCGAAGGGGUAUUUUCUAAUCUCGUCAAUCCAUUUCCCAUCCAACGGCCAUCCUUCCCUUCCAUUUUCUUUUCUUUUUCCUUUCUUUUUUUUCUUUCCUUUUUCUCUUUUCUUCUUCUUCCUCACUACGUCUUGGCUAAGCCCAGCCUGGCCGCGCACUGCUGCUCGCCGCACCACUCCCCCCCCCCCCCGCUGC